UAGUUGAUGGUUAAAUGUGAGCAUUAAGGAUCGUCAACAAGCUCCCCUAAGCUUAACCUUUGCUCGUCCCUGAGCAAAGAUGAACUCAAGAAUUUCUGGAGUGGUUUCAUGCCUUAAAGGUACACAUGCGUUCAAACAAGAUCUCAUCUCUGGGUUAGGGUAAACUUUUAAGAUUUCAACUUACUCAUUUUACCUUCCACCAUGGGACUUGUAAUUGUCACUUGUGUCUUGAGGAGUUAAAAGAUAGAACGGUCUAGUCAAGCACCAUGUCUCUUGUUCUUCGAUUAACUAUAGCUCUGGAGUUUUUGCAGAUUUUCAAAUAAAACUCAGAGAUUCCUUGUAUGACUCUCUCUAGUCUCUCUUUUGUGGUAUUUCUGGAUCCUUACCAAGCCAGUAAUGGUGUAUGCCUUCUCUCAAAGUAUGUGGUAUUUGUGGUAUAAGGCAUAGUGGCAUUGCCUUCUCUCUCACCCUACUCUAAUAAGGUUUUGAUAUCUGGAGCUCAUAGGUGGGAGACAGCUAAUACAUACUUACAAGACAUUUAUUGCAUAGUCAAACCAUGGAUGCAGAAGAACAAGUCAAUAAGUCAAAUCAAGAUGUGCAUGUGUGGCGAAUAAAUGGUGUAUGGUGAUGAUGGUGAUAAUAAAGGUGAAAAUCUAAUUCUACUUGUGCUCUUUUGAGGGGAUACAUACCUUUCUUGCUCUUUUGAAACUUUUUGAGGAGAAUGAGAUGCUCUAUAUUUUCUUUUUCUUUCUUUUUUUUUCUUUUUUUUUCUUUUCUCUCAGGUGGGUAUCUUGUACCCCUAAUUCUACUGUCGGACACUUGUCCAUUUUUACCUCUCGUCUCACUUUUUUUUUCUUUCAAUGUUCCGAGCACCUGCCCCUUUUUAUUUCCUCGUAUCUCUCUCUUUUUUAGAGCACUCAUCUCUUGAAAUAAUAUAGCAAGCGGUAGUAACCAAGACAACUUGAGCAUUUAUUUCACAGGGGAAAAACAAAAAUGUUUUUGGCUAUUCUCUCCCGGAUUAGGAGUAGAAUAUUUUUGGGUGAUUCUGGAGAUGGAAAUGGGUGGAUAUAUGUGGACGCGUACUCCCGGAGUAGAAGCAGCAUGUAUGAGUGAACGUGCAAGUGAAUCUUGAUUUAACCACAUGACAAGCUCCUAAGGGUCUACACAGCUUGACCACACUCAAUGCUCAUAAGUAGUAAAGUAAAUGUGUGGUUCAUAGUCUAGCAAUCAUGUAUAUAUGGCUGUGGUAGGAAUUUAAACUCUCAUCAUACAGGAACUCAUCAUGCAACAUUAUAAAGAUUUUCAAAGAUAAAAUUCUCCAGAAUUCUAGCAUCUCUAGGAACAGAUUAACAGCAGCUCAACCUUCCCAUAUCAUAUCCGUUAACGACUUAGACUUUAGAUCAAGUACUCUUCUCACAAGUUCAGGUUUAGAGCAAAUCUUAAUUAAUAACAGUCAUGCCUAAACUUGAUAGAGAUUUCAAUUUUGAGAACUAGUCAUGGCAAAGCAACUAUUCAUCAUUUCCAUGUGAGAGCUUAUGAUGAGGGUUCAUAGCAAACUUUAUUUAUUUAUCUAUUUAGCAAACUAAGCAAAGAUAUAUAUAUAUAUAUAUAUAUAUAAGCAUAUUAGAGUAAAGUAUAAACGUGCGCAGAAUACUUAGCUGGAUAAAUGGAGGUGCUCUCCCCCAAGCUGGAUUUUGAUGCAAUUUCUUCUGAAGUAGCUAGCAGGUGCUGGAGGUGUAUUUGAAUGUCGGCAACACUCUAACAGCGAUUAGGAUAUCCUCCGUCUGCUAGACUUCUUUGAUCCUUGAAUUCUCUUGGCAAGGCGUUCGGUGUUUUUAAGUCCUCCGAACGGGACUCUCCGUUUCCUGAAUCAUCCUGGGAUUUGCUGGAUGGCGUAGUCGGUUGUUCCGGCGGCGUAUGCUCUUCGUGUAUAACUAUCUUCUUUCUCCACACCUGACUUGGUGCUACGGUCUCCUCAGGACAGUUCUGUUCAAACUGUAUGUCUUCAGACCUUAUCACUUCUCCUUCGUAGUCUGCCCAUCCGUCUUUGAUGAUUUGCCUCCUCUGGUUGCGGUUGCGUCAUCUUCUUCUUGUCCUGACCUGCUUAGAGUCUUCAACUAUAUAGUUAGGGUUAGUAAAAUAGUGGCGUACCUUCUCAGAGGGGAAGUUCAUGUGGACUUCUCCGGUUCCAAUGUAGAUGAUUGCUUUAACGGUACUGAGGAACUGUCUCCCAAGGAUGAUGGGUGGAUCAUACUCGUCUUCUCCCAUGUCAAUAACCUUUCGGAAUGUCUGAUCUGUCAUCUGGAGCUGAAUGUAUGUCGGUUUUAAGGGCAUGGUUCCGAACAGGAGCUGAUAGGUGACUGGGUCAUCCUUUUUGGUCAGGAACGGUGACUUAAGUCGACGAUCUUGACCUCCUUGAAUUGCAGUGACCAUCUUAGUUGACUCGGUCCACAUUCGCUUGUUCCUGUUCCUCCUGUUCGUCCUCUUCCUUGGUUCAUGUCUGGAUUGCUUUCAGAUUUGUGUAGUUUUGGUCGUGAAGGAAAACGUCUCCUUCCUCCCUUUAAUGUAGAAACUGAUCCUGGCAGCACUAGCAUGGAUGACAGCUCCCGAGGUGUUCAGGAAUGGCCUUCCUAUGAUGAUGGAUGCCCUCUCAUUAGUACCAGUCUCUAUCACCACGAAGUCUGUUGGUGCGUACAAGGUACCAACUCGGACGUAGAGGUUCUUCAAUAUUCCAUUUGGGAAACUUAGUGUCUAAUCUGCAAGCUGCAAACACAUGGUUGUUUCUAGGAAAUGAUGUGUAAAGAAUUUUUCAUAGAGUACCCUGGGCACAAUGUUGACGCUGGAGCCAAAGUCGCAGAGUGCUUCUAGGAAGUCCACCAUGCCGAUGGAGAUCGGGAUGAUGGGGCGUCUUGGGUUGUCUCUCUUGACCGGCAGAAGGUCCGUAAUUACUUCCACAAUGGGGUUACUCCAGUAGUUACGUCCUCAAGCAUCUCAGGGCAGUGAUUGCCUGAGUGUCCAGUAUCUUCAGUGUGUUUGUGCUCGUAGAUCUAGGUUCAUCACUUAGUGGAGUCUGGGAGUUGUAAAAGUCCUUCAUAUUUUGCUCGAAGUGUACCUGCUCAUAGAGACAAGGUAGAGAUCAAGUGCAUGGGCCCUUAAGAUGUUACCUUACUUGAAGAGUGAUGGUACAGUAUCACCUUGUGGAAGCUUUCCUUUCUUAGUGGUUGUGCAUCGUGUUUGUGGCACCCUCCAUGGAUCAUCUCUUGUGAGCUAUGCCUUUCUUGUGUAAAUUGUUAAACUUCAUGUCUCUUUGUCUUCAAUGUGAGUUUAUCUCAGGACUUCCCAGGUCGAUAUUGAAAGUUUUCCUGUAGGGGUUAGUCGAACAAAAUAUCCAAUAUCUACUAUAACAUACUAUCGGCUCAAAGAUCAACCUAGACACCAUGUCUAAUUUGAUUUAGGAGGGCAUUUUAACUUAAGCACCAUGCUUCAUUUAAAAUCAUUUGGAAGUAAGAUCAUCAUUCCUAAACUAAGCACCAUGCUUAAUUAAGAGAUAAAUGAAACUACUCCAAACCUAGACAUAUACUAAAGCAAAUAAAGGUAGCAUGAAAGCAUUUAUAGACAUCUACUCAAGUGGAGAUGAAGUAGUGUGAUUAGUAUUUAACAAAUUGAGCAUGUCUCAAAGGUAGGGACAACCAACAUAACAACAUGGCAAAGGAUGUUUUUAUGUAAAGUACUCCCCCAAGCUUGAAUUUUGCAAAAUUCAAGUUUGGAUGAAUUUAAUUUAAUGUUGUAUGAUGAUUGGUUGGACAUACCUUGUUCUUGUCAUUCAUCCGAUCUUCUUGCUCCAAUCCUGGAAAGGUUAGUGACAAGAAUACCGGAAGAAAUUUUUUUUUACAAUUAUCCUUAUAUGCUCAAUACACAAGGUAAUGUUGCAAAUAAUUAAAAGCUCAUGUUACGAUCUAAUCAGUGCUUUAUUUUAGGACACUAAGCUUGUCCUUGGGAAACCAUCAAUUUAUGUCAGUGAAGUGGUUUCCCCUCCAACACUGACCUAUAUCAAGAUCAACUCAACGAGAUCGGCAAAAUUUAUUAUAGACAUAUGCAUCGACAACCGCCCUUUUAAAGUUUUUAUAAAUAGAAAGGAAGAGGGGGUUGGAGAUCUCGAAUGUGGUGAUGUUGGAGAGACCAAUGGAUUGUGAAGAUGUUGCAUAUGAGCAUAGAGUAAAUCCAUGUGGUAUGGUGAAAAAUUCCAUGCUCAUUAAUGCUUAGAGUGAAAUCCAUGUGGUAUGGUGAAAAUGAUAAGGUGAGUGUGGUAAAAAAGGAAAAGAAAAAGGAUACACGGACGACUUGGUUCGAAACUAGCACAACUACCGUUCCCCGGCAACGGCGCCAGAAAGCUUGUUGGGUAUUUUAAACGCAAAAAGAAAAAUCCGCAAGCGCACGGAUACCGAUGUAGCUUUCACCCGGGAGUAUUCCAGAGUAUCGAUUUUCCACAGAGAACGUGAGUGUACUAAUUAAGAUCCAAGAUCGCCCAAGAAUAACUAUAUAAUUAUUUUUGGUGGGAAGAGAGGAAGUUUCCUGAGAGUUCUCUAGUUGAUCUAAGAAUCAAGAAUUACUUCAAAGAUUAUUUAUUUCGGGACAUCAGAACACUAACCACAGAAAGAGAUGAGAAGGGGGCUAGGAAGCUCCGACUACGGUCCUACAAACACCGAUCCGAACAUGGUGGAAUACGUCGACCGUUAGGGCUGUCACUACCCUAGGGCUACCACAACAAUCCACAGGAUUGGGUGCAAUUCCAGGUAAUUGCAAGACUAAACACCACGUCUAAUCUAUUAAUUACUACUCUAGCAUUAUAAAGACUAGAGCACUUGAUGCAAGCGGGAAUCCAAUAAAUAACUUGAAUGUAAAUAAAAGUAAUUAAAGAACUCAGGAAUUAUGAAUUGAAGAACCUGGAGAACGAUGAAGAACGAACCAGUUGCUGCAAAAGUACAAUGUUGAGGAAGAUCCGACAGAUCCGGCUCCUCCUCCACUCUCCUCUUCUCUAUCCCUAUUUUCUAAAUUACAACUAGAACUAACUAGAACUAGAACUAGAAGAACUAGAACUAGAACUAGAUGAACUAGAACUACAUCUAGAUGAACUAGAGGUAGAACUAGAAGAACUAGAGGGAUCCUCUCUACUUGGAUGAAGAAUUGAAACCCUAGCUUUGAUUCUGUAGAAGAGGUAUGCUCUCCAGGGGCCAGGGGGCCUUGCUUAUAUAGUCUUUUCAGAUGAAUCUGGGCCGUCGGAUCGAACCGACAUUAAUCGCACGGUUUUCCUUGGUCUCUUAGGUCGGUGGAGCACGAUCCGCGAAGUUGACCCUGAUUGGGCACUGUAGCAGGGCGGGCGCCCAGGAGAGUAGGGCGGGCGCCCUGCCUCCGAGCCCGAUCGCCUUUCCGUUCAUUCUCGUGGCUUCUGGAGUCUUUUAGAUGGUAGAAAAUUACGCGGCACGUUAAUAUCUCUAUGUAAACCCGACGUGUGGGCCUUUCUUUCAUAUUUCCUGAUAACCCCCUGCAGAAAUAGACAAACACCAAAACUCGUGGAAUUCUGUCAGAUAAAACCCUAAGUCUAGGUGUUGGCUGCAUAUAAGUCUUUUUCCAUGAUUAGUUGAUGGUUAAAUGUGAGCAUUAAGGACCGUCAACAGUACCUUCAUAUAUACAUGUGUAAAACAUAUAAAUAUUCCAGUAACCACAGCUAACACUCUCAUAGAUCGAUGGUUGGACGGUCAUGCUCUCACAGCUCACACUUACCGUAGCAUAGAGGCAUGUAGACCCAUACAUUACCACUCAAGCAAGUGGCAUCCAUACAAUUUCACGCCGUAUGGACGACGAAAGAAAACAAUCAUUGCUUACCAUGGCGUAGAGGUAUGAUCCAUUCAUUACCACUUAAGUAAGUGGCAUCCAUAUAAUUGCACGCCAUAUGGACGACGAAAGGAAAAACCCCUAUGUUAGUAAUAUUAAGCCACCUAGAAGUCCUUAUGUGGGCAUAAGGGCAUGACCACUGGCAUGGUAUGUGUUAUUGAAACAACUUUAAAACAACCCUAUGUAUAGUAUAAUUUGCCAAUUAGUUUGGAAAAACAAAUUCAUUUGUUUUUAAAUACAUCUAUGAUGGUUAAAUGCUUAAUCUUGCUCUGAUGCUAGCUGUAACAGAACCGUCUAAUUUAUAAGAAUUCAAGUGAAUUAGCGACCACAAAGUAGUCAAGCCAAUGGACUUGAACCCAUAUAAACCCGGUAGUCCGACGAAAUCUCAAAAGACCUCGAUUCAACCAACAUACAACCAAGAUCGUACAUGAUCAAGCAUCGCCAUCACAGAUUACAUACAUUCAUCACAGAACAUAGUUUUACAUCACAUCAGAGUUUAAACAAAGUUAUUACAAACUAGUUUAGUAGCGGAAGCAAAGUAGUUUUGAAACAUCACACACAUAGUUUAAUUACAUGCCAGUCCCAUAGUCAUCCCAACAAAAGCAUAACUGAAGAUAAGAAAGUUGAUCAUGCCCAUGAUCUAUUCAUCGUCCGCAGCCGGAUGAUGACAGUUAGCACAGUAGCCGUGGUAAACGACAUCAUCUGCAACAAGGGUAAAUAAAACUCUGAGUAUUAGAAUGUACUCAGCUAGACUUAUCCAUCAUAAACCAGAAAUAAAGUGACACCAAGGAGUAUGCAAGGCUGAUCUUUGUGGACUGGUUUGACUCACCUUUUUGCAUAAAAAGCUUUAGUUGUAAGUGACUUACUUUUAACAUUUCAGCAGUAGGUUUAUUACUUAACAAUAACCCACUAGAUUAGCACCUAUUCUAAGCAUACACUUGAGAAUUUAAGCUUCACAACAAUAACCAUAUCCGGAUUAUCACAUAGCUAUCAACAUUCUCAUCAUAACCAUUAAGUUUAUUUAGUGAGUUCUACGUGCGACUGCCCGAGGCAUGCGUUCAACAUGACACGAGGACGUACAGCAAAUCGGUCCUUAAUCGACACAGACGGGGAUAGAUUCACACCCAAGACCUCCAUGCCUUGUUGCUGCACUAUCGUCAUCCUGCCCGGUCUCAAGUUCAUUAUGCAGCAAGGGUGUCAUAUCAACGCCUAACACUUAGUGCAACAAUACAUAAACAUAGUCAAUUGAUAGCUGGACAUGAUAUCAAAAUAGUAGGAGGCUUAUAAUGCUCCGGGGCUUGCCUUCAAUGUAAGGAGAAGGACGGUGGUCAGGGCACUCCGGCAGAUCAACCUCCUCAGCUCCUCGAGGUGGCUCCUCUUGCUGUUCCUCCAGCUCGGGCAGUUCGUACUCCAGUACCGUCACUACCUUGGGUACACCUAUGUAUGCAUGACAAGGUGAUAAAUAUAGGGAAUGCACAUAACAUGCAAUAUGUCGUGAUGCUGAGCCAAGGAAUACACAACAAAGUAUAAACAUGGACAUAAACUCCUAAAAUUAAGUGAAUCAUAGAAUAACAAGUAAGUGCAUACUUCUUCUCUGGUAGAGAGGCUAACUAGACAAGUUAAUCAACCUUAGCUACUCCUACUCAGUCACUGGUUUCAUAGACAGACCAACUUGUCACAAGUUUCAGCUAUAACUUAAGCAUCAGUUGGCCAAACUAAGCAAAUAGAUACUUUCUGGAAAGCUUAGUAAAUUUUAUACAAUUCACUUUUAGACAUCCCAGAAUGAUUGUGUUGACACCGUUUUUGGGCACGUGUCUAGGAUGGCAGGAUAAGGUGGCAGUACGAUGUUUACAAAGCGGGUUGCCGAUGAGGAUGGUUGCCGAUGAGGGAGAAGUUGAAUGUGACAGGCAGUAAUAUGGUGCCGAUGGCUAGAUAAGAAAGUCUGCCGAUGACUACGGCAAAGGAUCUGCCGAUGAUGCAAAGGAGGAGUCUGUCAGCUGCCGGUCGUUAUGUGGAGGAGUUUCGGUUUGUCACGAGGGAUAGUUUUGUUAUCUCCUUAAUUAUUUGCAUCGUUUUGUAUACGGAUUCCGUGUAAUUUGGAAUUCGAAUUCUAAUCGUGUCUGGUUGUAGCUCUUUGAGCAGGGUAUAAAUAUAGACCCUAGGGCCUUGUAAAAAAAAAGAAAUCAAGAAAUCAAACACACGUCUUUACUCAUAUUCCAGCAUUUACUUUUCGACGACUUCGUCAUACUUUUUCCUUUUGUUACGAGUUCUUAGGAAUUCGUCGACUUAAGCUCGGCGUGUUCUCAAGUUCCGCGUGAGUACCUCUUAGCCGUGACAUCCGGGCGCAUCGCUGUUGUCAGGACUAAAGUAUUCGAGUUAUCACCUUUGCCGAUAGCAAGGUCAAAUCGGCUGGCACGCCUUAACGUUUGAAUCGGGUAUUAGCCCUUUGUGUUUGCAGACCAGUUUUGCAUCAACACAUCUUUUGGCAUGCCCAGUGGGACCAGAUUCAAGAUCAAGAUCAACAUGUCGAUCUCUGACCUCGAUCAAGAGAACGUCAUCCCCGUGACGGAGGCCAACCUCAAGGAUGAGCAGAAGCAAGCUAUUGCCCAAGCCAUGGAAGAGUUCAAGCAGCAAUGCCUGAGGUCUUUCAGCAUAAACAGGAGCGGCGAAGUGGUCCAGAAAGAUGCACUGCCGGCACCACGGCAGGUCACCUUUGACGCCAAUCCUGGCAAGCUUCAAGAUAUGGUUGACAAUGCCAUCAAUCGAGCGUUGAUUAACCAAGCUGGUGUACUGUCUAAUACGGUUUUCAAUGCCGUGGCAAGAACUUUCAAGGAAGGACAAAUCCCACCAGAUUAUGUGGGCCCCUCCCAUCAUCAGCCAACGGCACCAGAGGUCACGGCUCCAUCGGCUGCCUUGACGAAUGCAAGUGCACAAUCUGCCGUCCCUCCAAGUACAUCGGGGACUACUGGUGCACUAUCUAUGCCGAUGGCAACCAACCCACAAAUUUCAGUUGGGCAGCAUAAACUGACAACAGAUAUGUUGGCAUCGGCAAUGUUAGGGUUGACUCUUCCUCCCAACUGGUGGGGUUACGGUAUGCCUCCAGAGUUGACGCCGGGAACAUCACAAAUAACUGACAUGAGGGGCAAAACUCCUAUGACAUCGGCACCUCCCAAUGCGCCGGUGAACCAGAGUCCUCGGUAUACCACAACUACUACUGCAAGGCCUCACACUGGAAAUCCUCAAGAUUCAAUGUUCCAGAUGCCCAAUGCAUCGGCAGAGUCAAUGCUGAUGCAACAGAGGCCUAUGGCCCAGUCGGAGUAUGUCAAUUCAACGACGGUACCCAAUUACCAAUCAUCUGCAGCACCUAUGCCGAUGAACGCUAAUAAUGGAUGGCUUGGACAGCAAGCCUUUCCACAAUCACCCCAGCAGAGUUACCAGACUACAGGGUUCCAGCAAGGGCAGGUCUAUCCCGGGUUCCAAGGUCAGGGGAUUCCCAACCAGCCAAUGAAUUUUGAACAGCAACUCGGAGGACAGCCAAUCGGUGGACAGCAGUUUGGUGGUCCGCAGAUUGGAGGACAGGUGAUCAAUACAAUGUUCCGUGCAGAUCACGUCCCGAACAGACACGUGGAGGUUCGCCACCAAGUGCCAGAUCCGCAGCCGCCUCAUCGGCAAGAUGCCGAUGCAUAUUGGGCUGAUAAGAUUGCUGAAGUAAUGAGGGAACAAUUUGGGAUAAAACCCAAAGUCAACACUUAUUCUUAUCGGACACCGUAUCCUCCCGCGUAUGAUUUGAUCCCGCUUCCACAUCGGUACAAGGUACCGGAUUUUACAAAGUUUUCCAGACAGGACGACACGUCAACCAUGGAGCAUGUCAACAGGUUCAUUAUUCAAUGUGGAGAGGCUGGUAACAGGGACGAAUUGAGGGUUCGUCUAUUUUCAUCAUCAUUGUUUGGAUCGACCUUUACUUGGUUCAUAUCAUUACCUCCCAACUCAGUAAUUACUUGGGCCGAUCUAGAGAAGCAAUUCCACAAAUACUUCUUCUCGGGGGUUCAUGAGAAGAAGAUCACUGACUUGGUCAAGUUGAGGCAACGUAAUGAUGAGUCGGUUGAGGGAUUUGUGCAGAGGAUACGAGAGGUCAAGAAUAAAUGCUAUAGCCUGGUUCUGGAUGACCGGCAGCUAGCUGAUUUGGCUUUCCAGGGUUUGUUGCCACAUAUCAGGGAUAAGUAUGCCUCUCAGGAGUUCGAAAGUUUAAGUCAUUUGGUGCAGAGGAUUUCUGAUCAAGACAUCAAGCCUUUCGAGCCUAAGAGGGCAUGGAAUAAGAAAGUGUCAUUUCUUGAUGAAGCAACAAGCUCAGAUUCUGAUGAAGAACCAGUAAUCGAUUUGGCAGAGUGGGUAAAAAACAAGAAGCCGAUGUCUUGUCCUUUUGGGCAGAAGGAACCAGAGAAGUUUGCUUUUGACACCGCUAAGGCUGAUAGGAUAUUUGACUUUCUACUUCAGGAAGGUCAGAUCAAACUGUCACCUAACCAUGUGAUCCCAUCGGCAGAAGAGUUGAAGAGGAUGAGAUAUUGCAAGUGGCAUAAUGCAACUUCCCAUGACACCAACGAGUGCAAAGUAUUCAGACAGCAGCUGCAAUCGGCUAUAGAGUCAGGGAGAAUCAAGUUUGACAGUUCCAAAGCCCAGAAGCCGAUGAAGAUAGACCAACAUCCUUUCCCGACAAACAUGUUGGAUGCUAAGGGGAAGGCUAAGGUCUUAACAUCGGAGACAGCUGAGAGGAGUGCAUCGGUAGAUCCUCAGCAUCAAGUUACUACUGCCGAUGAAAGAAGUAAGGGCUUGGUCCAGGAAGGAACUAGCUCAGGAAGGCUUCCUCGAUCUGGCAUCGUCAUAACUCAUAGAAGGCCUCGAGAAAAAUGGCAACAACGGGAAGAUCGGUAUCGGCGCCAGCAGGAAGAUUAUCGACGGGAAGAAGAAAGACGCUGACAGGAGUGGAAUCGGCACAGGGAUCAUUGGAAUUGUCCAUUCUUCAUCCAUUGUUGGGAGGAAAAUAUCAAGCUUCCUACUGUCAGAGACUGCCCUGAGUGCAACGGUUAUGAUCGGUACGAUAGGAUCGAUCGGCAUUAUCAUAAUGAUGAACGGCGAUUUAAUGGGCCGAUCAGAGGAAGGGUGUCAGUUCAUGACCGGCUGGGGGGCAGAUGUAGUGGGCACGACAGACUUAGCGACCGUGUCCAGUAUUUUCCCAGGAACCAAGAAGAGCUCGAGGGAAUGGCUGAUGCGCGGGUUCCCGAUGAAUUCAUAUUUUGCAGGGAUGCUAACACGCAUCGUAUGGAGUCAAGGGAGAACCGACGCCCGACGGCAAGGCAAAGGCCACUUCCUCCAUGGUGCCCUGGAGGAUUAACCAAGACACAGAAAAGGAGAUUGCAACGUGAAAGGCAAGAAGAGCUAAACAAGGGAGAGAACUCUGGAAGUCGGCAGCCGUCAGACACUAAGAGGGAAGGUCCAUCGGCAGGCGUCAGCAUGGUCUUCAUGUUGCCGAUGGAGUUUCUUGCACCAGCCAGUGAUGAUGAGUUGGAAUUUUCUGAUCAGAUAGCUCAGUUGGCUCUGGAUCUGAUGACGGCUAUCUUUGAGAAACCUGGCGAUGACGAGAGGCAGCAUCUUAAAGCUCUGUUCCUCAAAGGAAGGGUUGAUGGGCAGCCAAUGACCAAGAUCCUAGUUGAUGGUAGAGCUGCUAUUAAUAUUAUGUCGUAUGCAGUAUAUCGGAAGCUUGGGAAAGGGGAUCAAGAUUUGACCAAGACCGAUAUGAUGCUCAAAGACUUUGAAGGAAACGUGUCUCCAGUCAAGGGGGCGAUAUGUGCAGAGUUGACCAUCGGCAGCAAAACCUUGCCGACAACUUUUUUCGUGAUCAGCGGAAAAGGUGCUUACAACUUAUUAUUGGGAAGAGAUUGGAUUCAUGCCAAUUGUUGUAUCCCAUCUACAAUGCAUCAAUGCUUGGUUCAGUGGGUAGGUGACAAGAUUGAGAUUGUCCCAGGAGAUUCUUCUUAUGUUAUCGCGUCGGCAGAAACGGAUACUUACGAAAGGACCAGGUGCAUUUCAAGAGAAGUUUGGGAGAAAGAUUUUCUCAAAGUUGCCGAUUAUGAGAUUCCACCGAUCCAAGCAGUCGGUUCUGACGACGGUUUUUAAUUGAUAGAUUCGCCGAUGAUGGAAAAUUAGGCCAGGGAUUCACAUCGGCCGAUGAUUUGGUAGAAGUAGAUAUAGGUAGUGGUGAUAAGCCUAGGCCUACUUUUAUUAGUGCUAAAUUAGAUCCUAAGAGUAAGCAACAAUUGACUAGUUUGUUAAAGGAAUAUAAAGAUUGCUUUGCUUGGGAUUAUAUUGAGAUGCCUGGUUUAGACCGAUCAAUUGUUGAACAUCGGUUACCCAUCAAGUCUGGAUUUCGGCCACAUCAGCAACCAGCCCGCCGAUGUAAUCCUAACAUUCUACCUGAUAUUAAGGCCGAAAUCACCAAACUUAUUGAAGCUAAGUUUAUUCGGCAGUGUCGGUAUGCCGAGUGGAUUUCCAAUGUUGUUCCGGUUUAUAAGAAGAACGGGAAGCUUCGGGUGUGCAUUGAUUUCAGGAAUCUCAAUAAAGCUACGCCGAUGGAUGGAUACCCAAUGCCUGUCGCCGAUCUACUGGUUGAUGCUACGGCUGGUCAUCAGGUCAUCAGCUUCAUGGAUGGUAAUGCAGGUUACAAUCAAAUAUUCAUGGCGCAGGAGGAUAUUCCAAAAACCGCAUUCAGGUGUCCUGGUCAUGUUGGGCUAUUUGAGUGGAUAGUCAUGACUUUUGGGUUGAAGAAUGCUGGUGCUACUUAUCAAAGGGCUAUGAAUUUUAUAUUUCAUGAGUUCAUCGGCAAGCUCGUGGAGAUUUAUAUUGAUGAUGUGGUGGUUAAGUCUGGAGAUUUCUCAAAGCAUCUUGCCGAUUUACAAAAAGUGUUAGAGUGCACAAGGAAGCAUGGAUUGAAGAUGAAUCCCAACAAGUGUGCAUUUGGUGUAUCGGCAGGGCAGUUUCUUGGUUUCAUGGUACAUCAGAGGGGUAUUGAAAUUAGUCGAAGAUCCAUUGAUGCCAUCAAUAAAAUAGUGGCCCCUACCAACAAAACCGAGCUCCAAUCCUUGAUCGGCAAGGUAAAUUUUAUCAGGAGAUUUAUAUCGAAUUUAUCUGGUAGGAUUCGUGCUUUCAGUCCUCUUCUUAAAUUGAAAGCCGAUCAAGAGUUUAUUUGGGGAGAAGAACAGCAGUUGGCUCUGGAUGAAAUCAAGAAGUAUCUAGUAAAUCCUCCAGUUCUAGUUCCACCUCAACAAGGGAAGCCCUUCAGAUUGUAUUUAUCUACCGAUGGAUCGGUUAUCGGUUCAGCUUUAGUUCAAGAAUUUGAAGGGAAAGAAAGGGUAAUUUAUUAUUUGAGUAGGAGGUUGAUUGAUGCUGAAACCAGGUAUUCGGCCAUUGAGAAACUAUGCUUAUGCUUAUAUUUUUCAUGUAUCAAGCUGAGACAUUACCUGUUAUCGGCCGAAUGCACUGUUGUUUGCAAAGAUGACGUGGUCCGAUACAUGCUAUCUAUGCCGAUUAUGAAUGGAAGGAUCGGUAAAUGGAUUUUAGCACUGUCGGAGUUCGAUUUGCGUUACGAAUCGGCUAAGGCAGUCAAAGGGCAGAUUAUGGCCGAUUUUGUGACUCAGCAUUGCGGUCUAGUGGAAACCUUGGAAAUUGUACCCUGGACGCUCUUCUUUGAUGGAUCUACCUGUGACCGGGGGGCAGGAAUCGGCAUUGUAUUAGUUUCCCCUAAGGGGAGGAAGUAUGAGUUUUCCUUGCCGAUUGUUGCCACAUCAACAAAUAAUCAGGCUGAGUAUCAGGCUCUGAUCAAGGGAUUGGAGUUGUUAAGAGAAGUUCGUGCUGAUGCUGUUGAAAUAUUCGGGGAUUCUAUGUUGGUUAUAAAUCAAUUGGCCGGAAGCUAUGAAUGCCGAAGUGAAGUUCUCAUAACUUAUUUCGAGAGAAGUAUGCAACUGUUAAAGGAAUUCAAGGAUUUCCGAUUGGAGCAUGUUCCCCGAUUGCAUAAUGAAGACGCUAAUCGGUUAGCUCAGCAUGCCUCGGGAUAUCAGCCAAUGAUUAAUGCGACAUCGGCAGUCGGUGCCGGUGAUUGGAGGAAAGAAAUUAUUGAUUAUCUAAAAGAUCCAUCCAAAAAAGUUGAAAGACGGGUUCGAUUUCAAGCAACCAAGUAUGUGUUCCUUGAAAAUGAAUUGUAUUAUCGAACUAUCGACGGAAUUCUUCUCCGAUGCUUGGGCGAUGAUGAGGCUAAAAGUUUGAUGGGGGAAAUCCAUGAAGGAGUGUGUGGAGCGCAUCAGUCAGCUUUUAAGAUGAAGUGGAUGAUUCGAAGGAAUGGAUAUUUUUGGCCAACCAUACUUGAAGAUUGUUUUAAAUAUUUCAAGGGAUGUCAAGGUUGUCAAAAGUUUGGUAAUAUCCAGAGAGCACCCGCAUCGGCUAUGAAUCCUAUAAUAAAGCCUUGGCCGUUCCAGGGAUGGGCCAUCGAUCUGAUCGGCCAGAUUUAUCCACCAUCUAGCAAAGGGCAUAAGUUCAUUCUAGUUGCCACUGACUAUUUCACUAAGUGGGUAGAAGCUAUUCCUUUGAAGAAAGUCACAUCGGCCAAUAUGAUUGAUUUUGUGAAGGAGCAUAUUAUUUACCGAUUCGGGAUUCCCCAAACGAUUACUACCGAUCAGGGCACCAUGUUCACAUCGGGGGAGUUCGAUGAAUUCGCAAUCGGUAUGGGAAUUAAAGUGUUGAAUUCUUCUCCUUAUUAUGCUCAAGCCAAUGGGCAGGCCGAAGCGUCUAACAAAGGAAUUAUCAAGCUUAUUAAAUGAAAGAUUGAAGAAAGUCCUAAGCGGUGGCACACAUUAUUGAGUGAAGCAUUGUGGUCUUAUCGGAUGGCUUGUCGUGGAUCGACCAAAGUAUCACCCUAUCAAUUGGUGUAUGGACAUGAUCAGUGUUGCCUUGGGAGAUUAAGACUGGAUCUAGGCGAUUAACUUUUCAAGAUCAAUUAACUUCCGAUGGUUAUGCCACUUUGAUGACCGAUGAAUUGGACGAUCUAGCAGGGCAUCGGUUAAAAGCUUUAAUGAGUAUAGAAGAAAAAUAAGAAGAGAGUUGCUAGAUGGUAUGAAAAGAAAGUGAAGGCUAAAGAGUUUGCCGAUGGGGAUUUGGUAUGGAAAUUAAUUUUACCAAUUGGGACCAAAAGUUCGAAGUUUGGAAAGUGGUCUCCUAAUUGGGAGGGUCCUUAUCGGAUAAGUCGAUCGGCUCCUGGUAAUGCCUACAUUCUAGAAACCCUCGAAGGAAUUGAAUUUUCCAGAGCAUUAAAUGGCAAAUAUUUAAAGAAGUACUACCACAGUAUAUGGGUCGAUGCAUAGAAGUUUAGGUGCCGAUAACACUCCUAUCGGCUGGAUCCAAAUGCUUGGGGACAAGACUUGGUGUUUCAAAAGUUUAGGCGCCGAUAACAGUCCUAUCGGCUAGACUAAAAGCUGAGGAAGUAGGAAAGCGCAGAUACAAUGCCGAUGGAAAAUCUAUGUGUUAAGCAGCGUCUGGAUUGCCGAUAUAGCGCGUAGCCGAAUUUGGUUGGUUGCUUCUAUCUCCUUGAUGUCAUCAUCGGCAGAACCUUCUAUCGGCUUCAGCUUCUUCUUCAGUUGGAGUGCUUUGCGACUAUGAGCAUUUCGCUCGCGCUCAAGAAGCCUGAUGGUCUCUGGCAAUUGGCUCUCUUCCUGUUGGGCUUGGGACAGAGCGUUCUCUACUUCCUUGAGCUCCGCCAACAGGGACUCUUUUCUUGCCGAUAGAUCGGAUAUCUUCUGCUUCAGCGCGUCUCCAGAAGAUCUCAGGAUACCGAUGUUCUUGUGCUUCUCAUCGGUCUAAAGCUUCUCUUUCCUCAUUUCAUCAGAGAGUUGAGUCUGAGCGGCUCUAUCGGCAAGCCGCCGAGAAGCUCUUUGGUACUGCAGCUGGCAACUCUCCAGAUGAGCGGCUUGGAACAGGAUUUCUUCAACAUCGGCUGGGAUUUGGCCUCUGAGAGUUCUGAACAGGGUCUUGGUAGGGUCGGAAUCAUCAACCAAUUGCGCUGUGUCCUGGUGAAGGAGAGCUGACAAUUCUUCCAGCCUGACCCUGACCUCUGCCGAUGUGAUGCCGACCGUCUGAGAAGUGCUUGCUUCUUCACCUUCUUCUUCAGAGAAAUCGAUGGCGAAGGAGAAUAGGCUAUUGGGAGAAUCUUGUUCCUGGGAGGGAAAGCAAAAUUAGCUCAUACUUAGAGAAUCGGCAAAUAGUGCUAACGGUAAACGGUGACUUACUUGCUUCAAGGCGAUCUCUUGUCUUUGAGUGAGAAGUGCUGACGGGGCUGCAGGCUGAUCGGCCAAAGAUGCCGAUGGAGCUACAGGUUGAUCGGCCGAGAUUGCCGAUGGAACGAUAUCAACUGAAAGAAGACAAAAGGAGUUAUGAGACUAAAUAAGAAUAAGUUCAUCGGUAGCGAUAUUGUUAAAGUAUGUUACCUGGAGGAGGGACAACGGUUGUCUGAAUCGGGAGAACUGCCGAUAGUAUAAUUGGACCCACCGGGCCAGUUGUUUGUUCACCCGUGUCAGCUGAUGUAUCUUCUGUUUGAGAUCCUUCCUGUUGGGGUUCUUCUAUCUGUGGUGCUUCCUGCAUAGGUGGGGGAGAUGGUGCUUGCUGUGGCUGGGCUUCUGGAGAAGAAGGAGAAGACUCCACCGGAAUUGGAGAUACCGGAGGAGGAGGGGGAGUUGCUACCUUCUGGCGCUUUGUUCCAGUCUUAGCACCCGUGGUGCCCUUUCUCUUGGGUUGGCUAGACUGGGGGGCAUCGGUAGUCUCACACCUGGCUUUCGCCGAUGCGCCGGUUUGCUGCAAUAAUGAACAAGAGUUUAUAAGCAUAAAUAUAGCCGAUAUAAAGAUAGUCAGCAUAAAGGAAAAGAUUUGACAAAUUGCCUUGAAAGCCCGCGCAAGAGUGGGAGCAGCAACUGUUGGUGAUGUCUGGGUUCUUCUGGUGGUGACUUUCCUGAGGCGUACACCCCGAUGCACGAUGGAAGCUAGAGUGGGAGCAUUGUGGCCGAUUGAGGAAAUCGGGCCUGAUGGAAACAAGUCGAUCGGCCUGCCACUCCUGCUAACCAAUGGAGGAAUAUUGUCAACCUGCAAAAGGAAUACAAGGGUAAGCUGCCGAUGGAGGUAAUAUUGAGAAAAUGAAACGUUGGUUUGAGUUACUUACAGUGUCAUCGGGAACUUCGUAUUCGGGGUCAAUCAUGCCGCGGUAUGAAAGUGCUGAUCUGCAGAAUAGAUGCUCUUUCCAUUCUGCCCACCAUAACUUGUAUGCCUGAGUGAUAAAAGCAGCCGGAACCCAUUCUGACAGAUCUACAUCUACAUCGGCGUUUGGUGGUAGUUGGGCUGCUCGAGUCCACUCAAGAAGGUUGUUGAUAGUUUCUCUGGGUUUUAUCACAUCGGCAUAAGGAAGUGCAAUCGGCAACUGGCCGAAAGCUAACUGGCGAGCUAAUGCCGAUGGAUUGUAAAAUUCGUAAGUUUGAGGGGAGGUUUUUGUGCUACCAAAGAAAUUCACUGGAAUGAUUCUGGGAGUCACAAUUGCCAUCAUCACCUCAUUGUCCCUGUCGAGAGCUUCAUCAAAUGGAUUGAAGGUCAGAGGGAGCAUGCUAUCUUGGUCAUCAUAAGCCAACCAUGGUCGUUCGUCUCUGGUCAAACCUUCAUACAGAGUCUGGAAGAAUCGGCCGAUCUGAUCUGGACUACCCCCUGAACCAGGCAGAACUAUGACAGCUUCGCCAAAGUUCAAGGGGGCGCGUGUUGCCGAUUCCUCUUCACCCAAUACAUGGUUUUCAGCUAUAUCUCUUGGGAAACGCUGUGUGAACAGGUUGAAGUUGAGACGCUUGUGCAGAUGCAGGUUGAGCCACAUGUUAACAAACCACUAGGGGCCUUCCAAGUUGCCAAUAGAUUGGCCGAGCAGAAGUUUCUGGGCUACUUGAUGGAGAAGGUGGUAAGCAGCGCCAAGCAAGUAUUGGCCGAGAGGGAAUCGGCCACCGUUAGCCAGUCUUUCUGCUGCCGAUAGGUAGAUAGAAGUCGGUCCUGCCGAUCGACCACAGAAUACAAACUUGUCCAGCCACAUGUUCAGAAAGGUGGUUUGUUCCUUUAUGGUGACAGAUCCUUUCCAACGGUACUUCUGAAUGUACCCCGACCAACCGCCGAUAGCGCGAGUCUCCACUUUGGCACUAGGGGCAGUAUCAAAAAAGUGGGUGCUAUCGGCAGAAGAUAUAUCUAGACCAGUAAGCAUGGCUACAUCGGCAAGAGUAGGAGAAGCAGGGCCGUGGCCAAAGGCAAAAGCAUUGAGGGUGUCUGACCAAAAGUAGGAUGCAGCUAUCAGCAGUGACUCGUUCCUAUGCGUAUCGGUAAUGGACAAUCUAAUGCAUUGGGCUAGAUUCCUUUCACCCCACUGAACUUCAUUAGAGUUGCUGACCCUCAAGAACCAGUCUUUCCACCCUACAGUUGGGCUGGGCCAAGAGCGGAAGGUGUCCUUCCACAAAUCUAAGGAAAAAUUUUCGGCUCUGAAGGGGAUCCUGUUGGUUUCUGCGUUGAUAAGGUCAGUUGGAUCUAGGUCCCCUAGAGGGCCGAGGAAUUGAAGGUGUGGUUGAUUGGUGGGGAUGACAAUUUUGUUGGACAAUUCCUAGUGAUUUUGGGCGUAAAAAGAAAUACAAAGAGGAAAGAAAAGGAAGAUGUUCAGUAAAAUGAAUUGCGAGUGAACAGGGAUAUGAAGAAAAAUACAGAAGACGGGGUGGAGAUUUGACCUCAGGGACGACGAACCCAACGGCCAUCUUGCUGCGAAGGAAGCGUGUGAAGACGCCGGAGUUGAUGAAGAGGGGUACUUGUCGGAGACCUUAGGAGUUUUUGGUGGUGCCGCCGCUGGAAAAGUAAAGUUGGGUAGUAGAAUGGUGUGAUGGGGAAGGAGUACCCAAGAAGGAACUAUUUAUAGGACAAGAUGGGCAAGGGCAAAUCCGACUUAUCUCUUUGCCGCAUCCGAGAAACCCGAGGGUACUCAGGUGGAUAUGGUAACUGUUCGCACGGUAAUCCAGGGAUUGUGCAGGUGAUUUGACGGGAAGCGGUCAUUAUCUGAAGAUAUUUUACUGUGCGAGAUCUCCUGGUCGGUCCAUCGGCGAUAUUCUAUAACGGUCAUCUUGCCGAUGGGCGGAUAGAGGGGAAGUAACCGUUUNNNNNNNNNNNNNNNNNNNNNNNNNNNNNNNNNNNNNNNNNNNNNNNNNNNNNNNNNNNNNNNNNNNNNNNNNNNNNNNNNNNNNNNNNNNNNNNNNNNNNNNNNNNNNNNNNNNNNNNNNNNNNNNNNNNNNNNNNNNNCUGAGAAAAAUGCCCGUUUAGGAAGUUGGGGAUUUCGAGGAAUCUGCGGAGGAUUAGGAUCAGAGUUGUCCAGAUUGAGGUUGUCGGUUACCAGAUUAGGAGCAUUAAUUGCGGGAGAAGGCAUCAUUACUGCAGAGAAUUUCGGAGCAUUAAUAGUUUUAUACUCCGAAACUGGGGGGCAUGUGUUGACACCAUUUUUGGGCACGUGUCUAGGAUGGCAGGAUAAGGUGGCAGUACGAUGUUUACAAAGCGGGUUGCCGAUGAGGAUGGUUGCCGAUGAGGGAGAAGUAGUACGGUGUUUACAAAGCGGGUUGCCGAUGAGGAUGGUUGCCGAUGAGGGAGAAGUUGAAUGUGACAGGCAGUAAUAUGGUGCCGAUGGCUAGAUAAGAAAGUCUGCCGAUGACUACGGCAAAGGAUCUGCCGAUGAUGCAAAGGAGGAGUCUGGAAGCUGCCGGUCGUUAUGUGGAGGAGUUUCGGUUUGUCACGAGGGAUAGUUUUGUUAUCUCCUUAAUUAUUUGCAUCAUUUUGUAUACGGAUUCCGUGUAAUUUGGAAUUCGAAUUCUAAUCGUGUCUGGUUGUAGCUCUUUGAGCAGGGUAUAAAUAUAGACCCUAGAGCCUUGUAAAAAAAAAGAAAUCAAGAAAUCAAACACACGUCUUUACUCAUAUUCCAGCAUUUACUUUUCGACGACUUCGUCAUACUUUUUCCUUUUGUUACGAGUUCUUAGGAAUUCGUCGACUUAAGCUCGGCGUGUUCUCAAGUUCCGCGUGAGUACCUCUUAGCCGUGACAUCCGGGCGCAUCGCUGUUGUCAGGACUAAAGUAUUCGAGUUAUCACCUUUGCCGAUAGCAAGGUCAAAUCGGCUGGCACGCCUUAACGUUUGAAUCGGGUAUUAGCCCUUUGUGUUUGCAGACCAGUUUUGCAUCAACAGAUUCCCAACCGAAAUAUGCUAAAACAUACAAAGUUGGCUGGCUGUCCUGGAAAAUCCAGAGAGCAAGCACUUUGCAGCAGCUACUUGUAACAUUCAUAACUUUUAAACUACACAACCAAAUGUCAUGAAACUUGGACACGAAGUAGAUAAGCAAGUUUGCUACACGUUUGUUGUAGACAAGUUUCCCAGAAAACAUCAUCUUCAAUUAGUUCUUAAGCAAUUUCUAUCAGCUACACAGAAUUGCUCUAGGAAAGGCAUAAAUAGCAAAAAUAAUAUUUUGCACAUAUCAAGAAUGUAUCAAAGGGUCAAUCCAAAUGCACCAGUAGAUAGAACAUGUCUAAGAAACACUAGAAAACAUCAUGGCAAGGUCUAAACUCAUUUCUAUCAUCACCUUUUCCAUUUAUUUAAUUAUUAAGGUGAUUUACUGAACAUGCAUCCCAAGUGCUCCAAGAAUUCUAAAAAAAUUACAGCAAGCUACUUAUGCUAACACAAGGUUACUGUAAAAUUUUCAGGGCACUUGCACAUAGAGGUUGUGAGAUACGAAAAUAACAAGCUAGCAAAGACAUACAAGGCAUAAAUGUGAAACCCUACCAAAAUGUGUCAAACAACAGAUUUCAGAUUUUUCCUAGCUUUGUUUACACAUGAGUACAACACUCAGCAAGUUUCACCACACAAGGAGUUAUAACUUAUUUAUUAAAAUUACCACAAGAAACUCCUAUUUAAACAAGAAAUAUUUAUAACUUCAAAAUCAGUCCUCCAAAAAUCAUGAUAAAUUUAUCAGGGCCUAUUCAUGUCAUAAGUAACCAUACCCUAAAUUUGCAUGGCCAUCAGAUCAACAGAUCUCAAGAUAUAAUUACCUCCUAUAUAAUCAAGAUUAAAUCAUAUCUAUUUAUUUCUGCAAAAACAUGGCAUGUUUCAUAUUUUUAAUAAAAACUAGACUACCACCAAAACCUAGCAAAAUUGGAACCAUGUCAUUUGGAUCUAUAAAACUUGGGAUAUGAUUUUUUCAAAAACACCACAGAACCUGCUAUACAGUGAACCGGAGUGUGAGAGGGAGAGACUGACAGGUGGGAUCCGCUGACACACGGGACCCACGCGACAGAGGGACAGAGACAGGGGAAAAGCUCGUCGCCGGCGGAACUCGACGACGGCGAGGUCUCCGAUGGAUCCAAGGGCAUCUACGUGUUCCUCUCCUCAACGCGACUCCGUUGACCUACUCCACUCGCGCUGUACUGGACCCUAGGGUGCUCGCCGUCGCGAAUGGCGGAGCGGCGGUGCUGCGCGGCGUUACGCCGGCGAAUCUAGGCAAUGGCGACGCGGUAGAGCUUGCGGACGAGCAAUAGCGACUCAAUACGAAGCUAUAGGAAGAAGAAUCACAGGUGGAGGUGAACCAGAGAGGUCUGGCCACGUUGCCGGUGAUCUCUGUGAACUCCGGCGAGGUGGAGCUCGCGACGGAGUUGGCAAUGCGACCUCACCAGUGCUCGGCUAAGGGAAAGGAUUGGACGUCGAGGUAGAGGACAUCGAGGCGGAGCUCUGGGUGGACGGGCUCGGCUGGAGACGUGGUGGAGCAGCCAAGAGAGCUCGCCGAAGCGCGGCGGAGCUCGCCAAGGCGAUGGCGGAGCGAAAUGGGAGGCUCUGGAGGGGUGAAUGGCGCGUCUGAGGCGUCCACUCGGUGCGUGGCGUCUUGUGGACGACGUCGGGGCUGACAGGAGGGGUCAUCGACGGCAUACGGCCGACACCUGGCCGGACACGCGGCGGACGGCGACUGUCCAAACUGAAACAUUUUCUGAAUCGCCCGAUCCCGACGACUCAAACUCCAACUUUGUCGACGUUUUACUCUCAGCUCACUCGGUGGUUUUGGUUCAAAUUUGUUCUUUGGGUUAGAGCUACACGAGAUCUACAGGUUUGCUUACAAGAUCAAAGUCUAACUCGACCUGGAUUUCAAAUUACAAGGCUCCCAAUAACCCUAUGUCGAAUCUGCCGAUUCCCAGACUUAGCCAAAUUCGGCUAAGUGUAGAAACAGCACUGUUUUCGGGCUUGUGGGCCACUUUUGGUCAGGUUCCAGGCAUUUUCAUAAAAAGUCAUCAACAUAACUUUUGUAGCUUAUGAAAUUUACUACAACUUUGUUUCAGGUGUCAUUUACAUGUAAGGUCUCUAACAUCAGUUUAAUAAAAUAUCUUUGAAAGGAGGUCUAGGGGGACAAUUAGGUCAACCUAGGGCUAAUCAUGACCUAGAGGCAUUUUUGGCCAAAACAUCCAACAUGAACUUUAUUCAAAAUGUUGUUCUAAACAUGAUUAAAGUAUUUUGGAAGACAAUAUACACUUGUAUGCCUUAUUCACCCAUUACAAUCAACCAUAGCAACUCAUAUAGGAAUUCAAUCACGUAGUAUAUGUAGCAAAUGACAUUUGAUCAUGGUAUGAUGCUCAUGAGUGAUCAUGAUGAUGCUUAUGUUGAUGCAAUGCUCAUGGUUAACAUGCAAGCUAACACUAGGAGUGUUACAUUGGAGAUCUAGGAGGGCUUGUUGGGUUUGAGUUGCAGUGUUCUGCAUAGCCUCAUGUCCAAUGCGCAGCACACAAAUUUGUUGGGCCAGCAUGUCCAUGUCAAUGCAUUGAGCGCGGGGCUGUGAAUCCUGCAAAGAAGAACAAGACAUACGACCACUGUGGGCACCAGACUUGCGUCCCGAAUGGGACGCCUGCAUCCCACUAAAACUUCCCUCAUAGUCACUGUCAUCAUCAUCACCUGUAGCUCGUGCUCUUGCACGUGUGGUUGGUCCUACAAGCCUCAUAUGUCUUUUGCACAUAGGGAGUAAUGGGUUGCCACUAUAUAUUUUUAGUUCUUCACAGGGCAACAAAGUUGUUUCAUGGGUAUUAUAAUUUUUUAAAAACACUAUGUUAUUUGCUCCUCCCUUAAGAUAUUGGCCCUGAAUAUAAAAUCUUUUGUGCAAGACAACUCUAGGAGUAUUUAUGUAUCUAUCAAAGUUAUUGAGCAGAUUAAGGCGUGCACAAAAUCUUUUAACCACAUAAGUAAAUUCAAUGGUCCACCUCCUUGGUUGGGAUGAUGCCCAUAACCAGUGUUUAGCCAUUUCUAUCACUGGUGAAAUUUGAAUUUUAUGAACCAUGGCAAAAAGGAUUCUAGUGUCAAUUUUCUUGACAAUUCUUAUGUCAUCUCGAGGGAACAAAGUGAGUCCUAUCCAUUGGUGCAAGAAAAGCAAGGUAGGAUUGCAUAUGAGACUAGUAUGUGGUUGCCAUCCCACAUAAUUUUCCCAGUGAUAUCAUACCAAAAUUCUUUCUUGUUCAUGUGCUUAGUGGCGUGCUCAAUUUUAAUGUUGGGAAUAUCAAAACCAAGAUAUGUAGAGAAAACAUCCCAUGGAAGGUCAAACUCACUAUUAAGCACUCUAAAACAAUUUUUCUCUUUUGUUAUUCUUAGGGUGCUCAUAAAUUCUAGGGUGAGAAUUUUACUUCCUUUUACAUUAGACAAAUUCCAAAAUUCAUCCCACCCCAUUUUAUUGAAAACUUUUGUGAACUCAUCAUCUAAGCCUAUGCUUCAGAGAAAGUCAAGAGAUAUCACCUUGAUGUGAAUAAAUUCAGGGUCGUGGAGUUCCUCAAGCUUCUCCAUCUCAACGGGAGUGAGCCAUAUGUUGGUUUCCUCAUCUUGAAUUUUCUCGGGGAUGGCUUCUUCGUUUACUUGAGGUGGUGGAGAUGAUACUUGCUCCCUUGAUGCUUGACUCCGAGCAUCUUGCAUGGAGGAGUCACUAGAGCUAAGAGAAAUUCGGUUGAGAACUGACUUCCCCUAACCCCUGACUUUCUUCAUGAUGACGAACUCUUGGAUGGUAAGGAUAAAAAUAAAAUAUUUUUGGAUUUUUGUUUUGGAGAAAAGGAUGGGUAAGAAAUGGAGAGGAGAAUGGGUUUCUUGCUGGUUGGUUGAGUGCACAAGAGUGUGAGUGUGUUUAGAUGAAGGAGGGAGUAAGGAGAAGUGCUAGAGUGGAUUUAUGAAGGUAGGUUGAGCUGCCCCUCUGGCGAUUUUUGUAGUGUGGCCAUGGCACCUACCUUCUGGAAUGCAAUGCAAGCAAAUGGUUGUGUUGGGUGCACCAGAGCAUGGUGGACCGACCAGCCUCUCUCCCCAAUUUCAAAAAGUGCACUAACCAGGAGCAAUGCCAUGAGAGGUGGAUCAGAAUGCAUGUGAUGGUGCCCUCCUUCAAGGGUCGGCUGACCCACCUUUCCUCCCCCCUUUGAUUUGUGCCGAAGAUGAGAGUGAGUGGAGGUCAUUCCAUGUUGGGUGCAUGCAUAACAUGCCCCUCUUUUGCUUUGGAUGAUGGUGCAUGGCAUCUCCCUUUCUUGGAUGAAGUGAUGAAAGGAAAGAAAGCAAAAGAGAGGGGGCAAGACAAGACUAGGAGUUGGUGGCAUUUUAUGUCAUGAGUUCUCACGGGAGAAUCCUUCUCAUCCUUUUGUGAUUAGCUUAGUGCUAAAUAAGCUCGCUUAGCCAAAAUGAAUGGUGGGUUGGGGCAUGAGUGAGGUUAGGGAGAAGGAUUGACAUGAAAAUUUUCCUCUAGUCCCUUGAAUUGCCUAUGGCCAAUUUGUUAAUUCUAUUUUCCUAAGCAAGAAGGUGAGGGAGAGCCACUAAUUCCUAGGAGUGCAAGUCGACAGCUACCUGUCUUACAUUAUUGCAACACUCAUCCUAGAGCCAUAAGAUCACAACUACUAGAAGCUGGAGGGAGGUGGGCCCAAUAUCAUGGUUGGCCGACCGUGAUUUGGCCUCCCCAAGGCUCUGGUGGCACUCAAGCAGAGCAAAAAUGCAUUAUGUAGUAAAACUUCUUUGCUUAAAGUCACAAAAGUUACGAAGCUAGCUUCAUCUAGAUUCUCUAAUAGGCAUGUGAAGCAAUUCAUGUCAUGAAAUUCAGUUUUCACUUUGGCACAGACAUGAGCAUGGGAUUGUGUGAUGAUGGAGCAAAAUUAAGCAGGUGGACCCACCAAGCAUAGGUCGGCCGACCUGGCCUUGGGCCCCACCUGGUGUCCAUUUGCUCAACAUGUUAAGUAGAGGUUGAUAUAGGUUUUAUUAUGCACAACUGUGGUCAAAUUUUAAAAGUUUGAAAACCCACCUUGGUUUGACUUACCUGGACGGAAGAGCAGUUGCCUCAGGUCCUUUCAUCAGGACCUCCCUGAGGUGCUGUAGAGGCCUUCUUGGGUGGAGGAACUAUUUUUCUCUUCCAUAUUUACUUGGCUUUUGCCCGUGCUUUUGAUUUAGCCUUCUUUUUGGUGUGCGUCAGGGCAAUAAUUGUAGCCAGCUCUGUAGCCAAGAUCAUUGAGCACUAGUCAACUUUUGGCUUGAAGUUGAAUUUCUCCUAGGCCCCAUUGAUGGUGAAUUGAAUUUCUCUGGCUCCAACAUCAAUAUGUGCCUUGGCUGUAACAGAACCGCCCAAAUUAUAAGAGAUUAAGCCUGAUAGUGACCAUUUGCACAGUCAAACUACCGAGCUUAAGCCCAUAUAAUUCCGGUAGUCCAUGAAAUCUCGAAGGAUUUCAAACCACAACUCAUACGUACAGCCAAGAUCGUAAUAAGUUCAGCGGUCCCCAUCACACUUACAUCAAGUUCGCAACAUUCAACAAAUACACCGGAGUACUUAAAAUUAUUACAAACCAAGUUCUCGAGUAGCGGAAGCUUCAUAGUUUGAAAGUAACACACACACAUUUAGUUUGAUACAGUGCCAUAGUUCAGUCAUUCCCACAAAAGCAAAAGAGAAGGUAGAGUGACCAUUGCCCUUGGUCUAGUCAUCGCUCAUUGCUGGGUACAAGCAGAGGAUGCAAUAACCAUAGUACAUUUGACCAUCUGCAAAACAACAUGGGAAUAGAACCUUGAGUACGGGAAUGUACUCAGCUAGACUUACCCGUCAUAAACCAAAAAUAAAGACUCUUCAAGGAUCAUGAAGGCUGUAUGGUGGGGUAGCUGAGACUUUUUGCAUAAAAGCAUUAUUCCACUAAAACAUAGCCUAGAGACCUUUCUUCUUUUAAUUAGCUCAAGUUUGAUAAUAUCAUUACCUAUUAUCUAGGUUUGCACCUGUACUAUUACAAAAAAGUAUAGAAAUAUGAUGGUACCUCAUCAUAGCAUUCAUAAACCAUUUACCAUCAUAACCCAAGUGUUCCUUAGUCCUUACUACGAGGACGAAGCUCAUGUCAAGUGCUCACUAUCCAGGAGCGAUGGUGAUUCGAAUCGAUUUCUGACCAGCUGGAGAGUUAUUCCCCACACAAACCACACCCACUAAUCAAGUGAGAUACAGAUCACCGUGUUACACUAUCCAGGACCAAAUCGUGGGUUCGACAGGCACCGCCAGUACCCGAGGACCGUUCCGGCGACCGAGGUAUCCAAGGUAUACCAAGGCUGCAUGUCGCGCCCUCGUCGUUCUCCUCAACCAUCACCAAUACAGCGGAUGGUGGCUCGACUCUCGGCCCGGAUAGUGUUCAGGCUUCGCGGUCAGAACGACUUAUCCUUCCAGCUAAGUGUGGGGCAUGCGUACAACAUGACAAGAGGGCCGUCAACGAUCGGUCCUUAAUUGACACAGGCAGGGGCACUACGGUCAACCCCACCAUAAGUCCCUGCCUGAUCUCAAAUUCCUUUCCACACUUGGAUACUUUUGCCAGAGCAAUCACAACUAAUCAAACAGGUGUCCACCUAUAUUUCGCAGGUGACAGGGAAUCACCUGACUUCUACCGGACUAAGCAAUCUACGCAUAAACUCCGUGCCUAGCUACUUAGAACAAGGUAGAUAAACAAGUGGUGAUAUCAAGGAGUACUUAUGCAUCAACGGUAUCAAGCAAUUCCUAUGACUUAAAUGCAUCAUAGUAGAACAAGCAUAAUAGAUCAUUUAAGUUAGCGAGAAUAGGGAGACUUAGAAUGCUCCGGGGCUUACCUUUCUCAAACAUGCUCGGUCUGUGGUUCGGGCACUCCUGCAGCUCCUCUCCGGGCUCUGGUCCUCCCAGAGGUUCCUGCUCCUGGGUCUCCUCCUGCUCCUGGGGUCCCACCUCGUUCUCCUGCGAGCCUGUAUGAUGCAUGUGUGCUCAUGAGUGGAGUGCGAGAUGCCCGGGGUGCAAUGCUUAUACAAGUGGAUACCAGAUGACCAUGACAUGAUGCAUAGAUGAUAUAAGUGGUCACUUUUACAUGGUAGUCAACAUCAUCCAAGAAUAAGUAAUCAAAUUUAGCAUCUAUUGCAUUCUCUUCUACAAGUUGUUUUCAUGGUUAACCAGCAAGCUAACAUGAUGCUUCAAAGAUACACCAAACAAUCUUUUAUUCUAUCUAAUUUAUACACAAAAAUUCUUAUUUUAUUUACUCACUUUUGGACCUAUAAAAGUAACAUAUAUCUUUGUUUAACAAUAAAUUCCACAAAAAUUACAGUAGACUACUAGUCAAUCAUAAAGUCUACCAUAAAUUUUUCAUAAUAUUUGAACAUUUAUUUUGGGCUACAAAAAUCAUAAGAUUAAUCCAUAUAAUUGAGUAUAAUUACCCUACUAUUGUGUAAGUGUCAAACAGCAGAUUUCAUAUUUUUAUAAUUUACUUAUUAACAUAAAAAACACCCACAAAAAUUUCUAGAAUAAUUGCAUGAUCCAAAUAUUUAUUAAAAAUCAUAAACCACUGCCAUGCAAGCAUUUAAAUCAUCAUAAGUUAAUUCAUACGGCAACUAAUGUGUAACAUAAUUUUCCCAGAGACUAAUCAUCCAUACAGAGCAAACAAAACAAGUUUCAUAAUUUUCUGAGCUACAUUUUAAUUACUAUGCAUUUUCCAAAUUUCAGUAAAAACAUGGAUUAAAUAUAUUUGUACAGAAAAGUUGUUCAAACAUGACAUGCAACCAUACCAAACUAUAGAUCUGAAAUUAUAGAACACACCAAAAUUUAUUUCAUCAAUUUUGGAGCUAUAUAUCUCAAGAUAUGGAUUUUAUAUCAUUUAAACUAUUUUCUGGAAAAUAUUUUCUGAAAAAACAAUUCAAAAUCCACCCCUGGGACCAGCCGGGUGCACCUGCGGCCACUAACGAGCGGACCCGCCUGCCAGCCAGGCCCGCUGGCCAGAACGCAAACAGGGGGCAACUCCGGUGAACCGGAGCUCACCGCCGGCGGCCUCUCUCGGCGAACCAAGCGGCCCUACGCGUUCUACGGCUCAAGGCGACCUCAGCGAACCUAUUUGCGCGGCCUGAAAUGGACCGGAACAAGCUCGCCACCGGCCAUGGCAGAACGGCGACACUGCUCAUCGCGGUCCGGCCACCGCGCGGCGGUAGAGCGUGCGCUAACGGUCGGAAAAGGUGCGCAAGGCCAAGGCGAAGCUAACGCGCCUAAAAACGCAAAAAAUGGCGGAGUAGAGGGGGAGAACCGCGCUGACCGAGGGGUCGCCGGAGCCCCGACUCACUUCGGUGAGCUCUUCCGGACGCGCGGGACUCACCGAGCGCGGUUGAGCGCGAGCACGCGACGUGGAAGCACGAGGCGGAGCUGUUGGCGGUCGCGGAGAGGAAGGAGGAGGUCGGAGCUGGCCGGGAGAGAAGCUCCAAGUCAUCGGCGACGAUGGCACGCGGCGGAGCGGCAGCUGCUGCGCGCGAGCGAGCGAAGGGCGGGAGCGCGAGUGGAGGAGCGCAAAUGGCAGCGGGGGCGGAGGCGGACGCGGCCGGGCGCUCCUGGUGGCCGACCAGGGCGCGUCCAAGCUGCCGCAUGCUGGCCACGCAGCGGCCGAGCUCUGCCGGCGCGCCACGGCGGCACGGCGCGGCCGUCCGCGCGCGGGCACGGCGCGGGCGCGGGGAAGGGGGUGAGCGCGGGCGGGCUGGGCCGGCUUCGGCCAACGGGCCAGAAGUGAGGCCGCGGCCUGCUAGCGCCCCCCUUUCCUUUUUUCUAUUUUUUUGAAUUUCUUUUCUCAAUCCUUUUCUAAAUUUAUUUGGACUGUUUUAAAAUCCUUUUCACCUUUUUCACCCAAAAUAGAAGUUGCUUUAAAUCAAAAAUUCUACAACUUUGUUUUAGGUUGAAAUCACAAAUUCCAAAUAAAAUUUGAAAUACAACUCAAAACUAGUUAUAGGUUUUCAAAUAAAUCCAUUUUGGGAAUUUUUGUAUAAAAUCAAUUUCUCAAUUUCUAUAGCUCCAAAAAUUUCACAAAAUUACUCUUAAUUCUUCUAACACAAAUUUCAACCUAAUUUGGGCAAUUCAAGAAUUUAGAUGCAAGCAUAAUAUUUUUACCAUAUUUAAUUCACAUAAAAUAAAGCACAUAAAAUCAUACUUGGAUGAAUGACAUGUUCGUGCAACGCUAUGCUUGAUGAGAAUGCUUAUGGAUGAGUUUAUGAGACUAAGUGCAUGCUUAACACCUAGGGUGUUACAGCCCUUCCCCCCUUAGAGAAAUCUCGUCUCGAGAUUUUGGGUUACUAACCAUUUCUUAUGAAAUUUUGGGUAAACUAUUUUUAGGUAAUCCUCGGUUUCUCAGGUGGCAUCUCUAUCAUCGUGAUGACUCCAUACCACCUUGUAAGUCUUGACAACACUAUUCUGGGUUACCCGCUCCUUGGUAUCUACGAUACCCACUGGUUGUUCCUUAUAGUCCAAGUCUGCCUUUAUCUUGACUCGUCGAGGUUUGAUCUUUUGCUCAGGCACUUUCAAACAUUUUCGCAGCUGUGAUACAUGGAAGACUGGAAAGAUUGAGCUCAACUCUUCAAGUAACUGAAUCUUAUAGGCCACAGGGCCUAUUCUUUCUAGUAUCUGAUAUGGUCCCUGUUGGGUAUUUUAAACUCAAACAAAAAAAAUCCGCAAGCGCACGAAUACCGAUGUAGCUUUCACCCGGGAGUAUUCCAGAGUAUCGAUUUUCCACAGAGAACGUGAGUGUACUAAUUAAGAUCCAAGAUCGCCCAAGGAUAAUUAUAUAAUUUUUUUUGGUGGGAAGAGAGGAAGUUUCCUGAGAGUUCUCUAAUUGAUCUAAGAAUCAAGAAAUACUUCAAGAUUAUCUAUUUUGGGACAUCAGAACACUAACCACAGAAAGAGAUGAGAAGGGGGCUAGGAAGCUCCGACUACGGUCCUACAAACACCGAUCCGAACGAGGUGGAAUACGUCGACCGUUAGGGCUGUCACUACCCUAGGGCUACCACAACAAUCCACAGGAUUGGGUGCAAUUCCAGGUAAUUGCAAGACUAAACACCACGUCUAAUCUAUUAAUUACUACUCUAGCGUUAUAAAGACUAGAGCACUUGAUGCAAGCGGGAAUCCAAUAAAUAACUUGAAUGUAAAUAAAAGUAAUUAAAGAACUCAGGAAUUAUGAAUUGAAGAACCUGGAGAGCGAUGAAGAACGAACCAGUUGCUGCAAAAGUACAAUGUUGAGGAAGAUCCGACAGAUCCGGCUCCUCCUCCUCCGCUCUCCUCUUCUCUCACCCUAUUUUCUAGAUUACAACUAGCACUAACUAGAACUAGAACUAGAGGAACUAGAACUAGAACUAGAUGAACAAGAACUAGAAGAACUAGAGGGAUCCUCUCUACUUGGAUGAAGAAUUGAAACCCUAACUUUGAUUCUGUAGAAGAGGUAUGAUCUCCAGGGGCCAGGGGGCCUUGCUUAUAUAGUCUUUUCAAAUGAAUCUUGGCCGUUGGAUCAAACCGACAUUGAUUGAACGGUUAUCCUUGAUCCUUUAGGUCGGUGGAGCAAUAUCCCGAAAGAGAGUCCUGAUUGGACUCUAUGUGAGGGCGGGCGCCCAGGAGAGUAGGGCGGGCGCCCUGUCCCUGAGCCCUCUCGGCUUCUCGUUCGUUCCCGUGGCUUCUGGAGUCUUCUAGAUGAUAGAAAAUUGCGCGGCAUGUUAAUAUCUCUAUGUAAACCCGACGUGUGGGCCUUUCCUCCAUAUUUCCUGAUAACCCCCUGCAGAAAUAGACAAACACCAAACUUCAUGGAAUUUUGUCAGAUAAAACCCUAAAUCUAGGUGUUGAUUGCAUAUAGACCCUUUUCCAUGAUUAGUGGAUGGUUAAAUGUGAGCAUUAAGGACCGUCAACAGUCCCACAUAUCUAGGUGCAAGCUUGCUUCGAACUCGGAAACGCUGAACUUUCUUCAUUGACGUAACCUUGAGGUAAACAUAAUCACCCACUUUAAACUCGAGUGGUCUUCUUCGCUUGUCUGCAUAACUCUUCUGUCGUGAUUGCGCCGCUCUCAUGUGUUGUUGUAUAAUUUGUACUUUCUUCUCAGCUUCGUUCACGAAGUCGAUACCAUAGUAUCUCCUUUCACCAGGUUCGACCCAGUUUAACGGAGUCCUGCAUCUUCGACCAUACAAAGAUUCGAACGGAGCCAUCUUGAUACUCUCUUGAUAGCUAUUAUUGUAAGAGAAUUCCGCUAAAGGUAACCAUGAUUCCCAUGAUCCCUUGGACGAUAACACACAAGCCCUCAGCAUAUCUUCUAGCACUUGAUUGAGUCUUUCUGUUUGACCCGAAGUUUGGGGAUGAUACGCUGUGCUUCUUAUCAGACUAGUCCCCAAACUCUUAUGCAUUCACUACCAGAAACGAUCGGUGAACUGUGGUCCUCUAUCUGAUAGGAUGGUCUUAGGAAUACCAUGUAGCUUGACGAUCUCAGCUAUGUAUAUAUCAGCAUACUCGGGAGGUCUGUACGUGUUCUUAACUGGAAUGAAAUGAGCUGACUUGGUCAAUUGGUCGAUGAUUACCCAAAUCGAGUCAUUCCCCUUUCGUGUUGUCGGCAAACCUGUAAUGAAGUCCAUGCUAACCUCUUCCCAUUUCCACUCUGGAACUGACAACGGUUGCAACAGACCUGCAGGUUUCAUAUGUAUAGCCUUGACUCUGCAACACGUGUCACAAUGGGCCACAUAUGCUGCUAUUUCUUUCUUCAUUUUAGUCCACCAAAAGUGAGGUCUUAGAUCUUGAUACAUCUUGCUACUGCCAGGAUGAAUAGAAAGCUUGGAGAGAUGUGCUUCAUCCAUGAUGCGAUUCAUUAAUUCUCGAUUCUUCGGGACUACUAAUCGGUGCUGAAACCACAAUACCCCUUUUUCAUCAAUUCUGAACUGAGUCUUUGGGUCGUCUUUGAUCUUCUCUUUGAUGUGGAAAAUACCCUUGUCCAUUUUUUGACCUUCGAUGACUUGACUUUCAAGUGAACAACUGAGCUGUAUGUGACAUAAGACUUUAGGAUGCAUGAGAUUGAAACCAUCUUCGAACAAAGGUUGAACCACUUGAUAGUGCGGUUUGCGACUCAAAGCGUCUGCUACCACAUUAGCCUUGCUUGGAUGAUAGUGGACUUCCAGAUCGUAAUCCUUGAUCAGCUCUAACCAUCUUCGUUGCCUCAUAUUCAGCUCGGACUUAGUGAAGAUGUAUUUCAGACUUUUAUGAUCUGUGUAGAUAUGACACUUGUUUCCCAGCAAAUAGUGCCUCUAGAUCUUCAAGGCGUGCACCACUGCUGCUAACUCGAGGUCAUGAGUUGGGUAGUUGACUUCGUGCUUUCUCAACUGUCGUGAAGCGUAAGCUAUAACUCUGCCGUCUUGCAUGAGCACACAUCCUAAACCACUUUUCGAUGCGUCGCAAAACACAUCAAAAGGCUUCUCGAUAUUGGGUUGUGCCAGAAUGGGAGCGGUGGUUAGCAACUUUCACAAGGUGCAGAAGGCUAGUUCACACCCUUCCGUCCAGACAAACUUAUGAUCCUUUCGUAGCAAACUGGUCAUUGGCUUAGCAAUCUUGGAAAAGUCGGGUAUGAAACGACGGUAAUACCCGGCUAGGCCAAGAAAGCUUCGAAGUUCCGAGACAGAAGUUGGUGCCUUCCAGUCCAUGACUUCCUGUACCUUGGAUGGAUCCACAGCAAUCCCUUCUUCAGACAGAAUGUGCCCUAGGAAAGGAGCCUUCUUCAGCCAGAACUCGCACUUGCUGAACUUUGCAUACAACUGAUGCUCUCGCAAUCGGGUUAACACGACUCUGAGAUGCUCGGUGUGAUCUUGCUCAUUCUCUGAGUAAACUAGAAUGUCAUCAAUGAACACCACAACAAACUUAUCUAACUCUAGCAUAAAGACGGAGUUCAUCAGAUACAUAAAGUGUGUAGGAGCAUUUGUCAACCCAAAGGACAUGACAAGAUACUCAUACAACCCAUAUCUGGUGGAAAAAGCAGUCUUCGGGAUAGCUUGCAGACGGAUCUUGAUUUGGUGAUACCCAGACCUCAAAUCUAUCUUGGGAAACACUUUCGCCUUGGACAACUGAUCAAACAAAAUAUCAAUCCUUGGUAGCGGAUACUUAUUUUUGAUUGUCACUGCAUUGAGUGGGCCAUAGUCCACGCACAUGCGCAACGAUUGAUCCUUCUUUUUCACAAACAACGCCGGACAACCCCAUUCCGACGAACUUGGCCAGAUGAACCCUUUAUCUAACAACUCCAUUAGUUGAUUCUUCAACUCAGCGAGUUCGUUUGGCGGCAUCCGGUACGGCCUUCUAGAUAUCGGUGUUGUACCUGGUAUCAACUCUAUUGCAAACUCUACUUCCCUGUCUGGGGGAAGUCCCGGCAAUUCCUCAGGAAAAACAUCAGGGAACUCACAGACCACUAGGAUCUGUGGCAGAGGAACCACAUGCGUAGCACAAGAGAUGCUAGCAAAGUCAAAGCGACGGGGCAGAGGUAAUUGAAAAGAUCCACUACCCUAGGGUUCUCUGAGAGAUAACACCCUCUUCCCAGCAUCUAUGACAGCAUCCCACUCUUUCAUCCAGUUCAUGCCCAUGAUAAUAUCCAAAACUAACCCAGGCAUGACUACCAGAUUAACACAAAACACCCUGUUACCUAUAUCCAAGGUUGCCCCUGGAACCACUCUAUUUGUCAACACAUCUGCCCCUGCUGAGCUGAUGCGAUAGCCAUAACCCAGAUCCGUAACUGCUUGGUGUUGACACCGUUUUUGGACAUGUAUCUUUUAUAGAUCGGCAGAUGAAGCAACGGUAACUAGUCUGCAAGAAAGUUGCCGAUGAAGGUAGUUGCCGAUGAGGAGACAAUUGAAUGUGACUAAGUCCAGAGGUGGUGACGUGUUCGUGCCGAUGAUCAGUAUUAGUGUUUACCGAUGGCCACAACAGGAGAUCUGCCGAUGACUCUGAAGGAGAGCGUGGAGAUUGCCGAUUGAUCUGUGGCGGUGCCCCGGUCGGUUACAAGGGGGUAGUUUUAUGUUUUCCUUAGUUAUUAGAAUUCGUUUUGCGUAUGGGUUCCGUUUAGUUUGGAAUUCGAGUCCUAGUCGUGUCUGGUUGUAGCUCUUCAGACAGGGUAUAAAUAUAGAACCUAGGGCAAUGUAAUGAGACAAUCUAUCAAUCAAUCAAACACAUGUUUUUACUCAUAUUCCAGCAUCUACUUUUUUGACGACUUCGUCAUAUUUUCUUUUUAUUACGAGUUCUUAGGAAUUCGUCGACUUAAGCUCAGCGUGUUCUCAAGUUCCGCGUGAUCACCUCUUGGCCGUGACAUCCGGGCGCAUCGCUGUUGUCGGGACCAAAGUGGUCGAGUUACCACCUUUGUCGAUUGUAAGAUCAAAUCGGCUGGCACGCCUUAACGUUUAAAUCGGGUAUUAGCCCUUUGUGUUUGCAGAUCAGUUUUGCAUCAACACAUCUUUUGGCACGCCCGGUGGGACAGAUUCAAGAUCAAGAUCAACAUGGCGAAUACCGAGUUUGACUUGGAGAACGUCAUCCUUGUGACGGAAGCCAAUCUCAGAGAUGAGCAAAAGCAAGCUAUUGCAAAAGCCACGUAGGACUACAAGCAGCAAUGUUUGAAAUCCUUCAGCAUUAAUAGGAGUGGCGAGGUGAUCCAGAAGGAAGCAUUGCCGGCACCUCGGUAGAUUACUUUUGAAGCCAAUCCUGGUAAACUUCAAGACAUGGUUGACAAUGCUAUUAACCGUGCCUUGAUUAAUCAAGCUGGUGUGCUGUCCAACACGGUUUUCAAUGCUGUGGCUAGAACUUUUAAGGAAGGACAAUUUCCACCAAACUAUGUAGGCUCUGCCUAUCAUUAGCCAGGAUCACCAGUGGUCACACCUCCAUCGUCUACUACGGCCGCUGCGGGCACAGAAACUACUACUUCUCCAAGCACACUAGGAUUCACUAAUGUGCAAUCUACGCCGAUGACGACCAAUCCAUCAACUUCGGAUGAGAAAUCAAUCUUGCCACAGAUCUAUUGGCAUCGGAAAUGUCGGGAUCUGUCCCUCCUAAUUGGUGGGGUUACGGUUUGCCCCUUGAGAUGAUGUUGAAGACUCCUAGGACAUCUUAAGUGGCUGACUUUACAGGCAAGGCUCCUAUGGCAUCAGCACCUCCAAAUCUGCUGAUGAAUCAAACUCCUCGGUAUACUACAACUACUACUGCAAGACCUUACACCGGGAAUUCUCAAGCUCCAACGUUCCAGAUGCCUAACGCAUCGGCAGAUUCAAUGCCGACGCAACAGAACACAGCCAGGGUAUGUUAAUUCAAUGAUGAUGCCCAAUUACCAGUCAUCGGCAGGGUUUGUGCUGAUGAAUGCUAACAGUGGAUGGACGGGGCAGUUAGUCUUUCCACAGAUGCCUCAGCAGAAUCAUUAGGUUCCAUGGUUUCAACAAGGCCAAAUUCAACUCGGGUUUCAGAAUCAAGGGUUGGCCAACCAGCCGAUGAAUCUGGGUCAGCAGAUUGGUGGUCAGAUGGUUAACCCAAUGUUCCAUGCAGAUCGUGCACCUCAGUGACACACGGGAGUAUAUCAGCAGGCGCCGAAUCCACAACUGCCUCAUCGGCAAGAUGCCGAUGCUUAUUGGGCCGAUAAGAUAGCUGAAGUAAUGAGAGACCAGUUUGGGAUAAAACCCAAAGUCAAUACUUACUCUUAUCGGACAUCGUAUCCUCCUGUAUACGAUUUAAUUCCACUUCCAAAUCAGUACAAGGUACCAGAUUUCACUAAGUUUUCUAGGCAGGAUGAUACAUCAACUAUGGAGCAUGUCAACAGGUUCAUCAUUCAAUGUGGGGAAGCUGCUAACAGAGAUGAAUUGAGGGUUCGUCUGUUUUCGUCAUCUUUGUCUGGAUCGGCUUUUACUUGGUUUAUUUCGUUACCUCCCAACUCAGUAAUUACUUGGGCCGAUCUAGAGAAGCAAUUCCAUAAGUACUUCUUUUCUGGAGUUCAUGAAAAGAAGAUCACUGAUUUAGUCAGGUUGAAGCAACGCAAUGAUGAAUCGGUUGAGAGCUUUGUGUAGAGGUUGCAGGAAGUCAAGAAUAAAUGCUAUAGCUUGGUUCUAGAUGAUCGGCAGCUAGCCGAUUUAGCUUUCCAGGGUUUGUUGCCACAUAUCAGAGACAAGUAUGCUUCUCAAGAGUUCGAGAGCCUAAGUCACUUGGUACAGAGGAUUUCCGACCAAGAUAUUAAACCUUUUAAUCCUAAGAGAGCAUGGAAUAAAAAGGUACCAUUUGUCGAUGAAGCAGCAAGCUCAGAUUCUGAUGAGGAGCCAGUCAUCGGCUUAGCAGAGUGGGUGAAGAACAAAAAGCCGAUGUCUUGCCCUUUUGGGCAUAAGGAGCCAGAAAAGUUUGCAUUUGACAUUACCAAGGCCGAUAGGAUAUUUGACUUUCUACUUCAGGAGGGGCAAAUCAAAUUGUCGCCUAAUCAUGCGAUUCCAUCAGCUAAAGAAUUAAAGAAGAUGAAAUACUACAAGUGGCACAAUGCAACCUCUCACAGCACCAAUGAGUGCAAGGUUUUUAGGCAAUAGCUGCAAUCGGCUAUAGAAUCUGGGAGAAUCAAGUUUGAUAAUUCCAAAGCUCAGAAGCCUAUGAAGAUCGAUCAACAUCCUUUCCCAACAAAUAUGUUCGAUGCUAAGGGAAAGACCAAAGUCUUAACAUCAGAAGCAGCUGAAAGAAGUGCAUCGGUGGAUCCUCAGCAUCAGGUUACUGCUGCCGAUGCUAAAGGAAAAGGUAUGAUCUAGGAAGGAAAUAGCUCAGGAAGGCCUCCCUGAUCUGGCAUUGUGAUAACUCAUAGAAGGCAUCGGGAGACUUGGCAGCAACGCGAGGAUCGGUAUCGGCACCAGCAUGAAGAUUAUCGUCGGGAAGAAGAAAGACGCCGACAGGAGUGGAAUCGGCACAAGGAUCAUUGGAACUGCCCGUUCUUUAUCCAUUGUUGGUUGCAGAACAUUAAACUGCCCACUGUUAGAGAUUGCCCUAAAUGCAAUGGUUAUGAUUGGUAUGAUAGACCUAAUUGGCAGUAUCAGAGUGAUGACCGGCGAUUUAAUGGGCCAAUUAGGGGUAGAACUUCAGUCCAUGAUCGGCUGGGGGGCAGACUCAGGGUGCAUGAUAGACUUGGUGACCAUGUCGAAUAUUUUCCCAGUAACCAGGAAAAACUUGAAGAGAUGGCAAAUGCUCGAGUUCCCGAUGAGGUCAUAUUUUGCAGGGAUGCCAAUACCUAUCGAGUGGAGUCAAGGGAAGUUCGUCAGUGAUCGGCAAGACAGCCGCAACUUCCUCCAUGGUGCCCAGAAGGGUUGACUAGGACACAGAAAAGGAGGCUGCAGCGCGAAAGACGAGAAGAGCUAAGCAAGGGCGAGAAUUCUAGCCAAUCUGGAGAUCAGCAACAACCAGAUCCUAAGGGAAAAGGGCCAUCGACAGAUGUUAACAUGGUAUUUAUGUUGCCGAUGGAGUUCCUUGUGCCAUCCAGUGAUGAUGAGGAGCUGGAUUUUUCCGACCAAAUAGCUCAGUUGGCUCUAGAUCUAAUGACAGCCAUCUUCGAAAAGCCUGCCAACAAUGAAAGGCAGCAUCUUAAAGCUUUGUUUGUCAAAGGAAGGGUUGAUGGGCAGCCGAUGACCAAAAUACUUGUGGACGGUGGAGCUGCUAUCAAUAUUAUGCCAUAUGCAGUCUAUCGGACGCUUGGAAAAAGAGAUCAAGAUUUGACCAAGACCGAUAUGAUGCUAAAAGACUUUGAAGGAAAUGUGUCUCCGGUUAAGGGGGCAAUAUGCGUCAAGUUGACCAUCGGAAGCAAAACCUUGCCGACAACUUUCUUCGUGAUCAGUGGAAAAGGUGCUUAUAAUUUGCUGCUAGGGAGAGAUUGGAUUCAUGCCAAUUGUUGCAUCCCGUCUACAAUGCACCAAUGCUUGGUUCAGUGGGUAGGUGACAAGAUCGAGAUUGUCCCGGGAGAUUCUUCUUAUGUCAUUGCAUCGGCAGAGGCGGACACUUAUGAAAGGACCAGUUGUAUCUCGGGAGAAAUUUGGGAGAAGGAUUUCCUCAAAGUUGCCGAUUAUGAAAUUCCACCGAUCCAAGUAGUCGGUUCUGAUGAGGAGUUUUAAUGGAUAGGUUCGCCGAUGAUGGAAAAUUAGGCCAGGAGUUUACAUCGGCUGAUGAUUUAGUAGAGGUAGAUAUAGGUAAUGGUGAUAAGCCUAUACCUACUUUUAUUAGUGCUAAGUUGAAUUCUGAGUGUAAGCUGCAGUUAACUGAUUUAUUAAAGGAAUAUAAAGAUUGCUUUGCUUGGGAUUAUACCGAGAUGUCUGGUUUAGACCGAUCUAUUGUUGAACAUCGGUUGCCCAUCAAGCCUAGAUUUCGGCCACAUCAACAGCCAGCUCGCCGAUAUAAUCCUAAUAUUCUUCCUGAUAUUAAGGCCGAAAUAACCAAACUUAUCGAAGCUAAAUUUAUUCGGCAGUGUCGGUAUGCCAAGUGGAUUUCCAAUGUUGUUCCAGUUUACAAGAAAAAUGAGAAGCUUCGAGUUUGCAUUGAUUUCAGGAAUCUCAAUAAAGCUACGCCGAUGGAUGGUUACCCAAUGUCGGUUGCCGAUUUAUUAGUUGAUGCUGCGGCUGCGCAUCGGAUCAUAAGCUUUAUGGAUGGCAAUGCAGGAUAUAAUCAAAUAUUCAUGGCUGAAGAAGAUAUUCCAAAGACUGCAUUUAGAUGUCUUGUCAUGUUGAGUUAUUUGAAUGGAUAGUCAUGACCUUUGGCUUGAAAAAUGCUGGUGCUACCUAUCAGAGGGCUAUGAAUUUUAUCUUUCAUGAGUUCAUCGGCAAGCUGGUGGAGAUUUAUAUUGAUGAUGUAGUGGUUAAGUCUGGAGAUUUCACAAAGCAUCUUGCUGAUCUGCGAAAAGUGUUAGAAUGUACAAGGAAACAUGGCCUAAAGAUGAACCCUAACAAGUGUGCAUUCGGCGUAUCGGCAGGGCAAUUUCUUGGUUUCAUGGUGCAUCAAAGGGGAAUUGAAAUUAGUAGGAGAUCUAUUGAUGCUAUCAACAAAAUAGUGGCUCCUACCAACAAAACCGAGCUCCAAUCUCUGAUCGGCAAAGUAAAUUUUAUCAGGCGGUUUAUUUCCAACUUAUCCGGAAAAAUUCGUGCUUUUAGUCCUUUACUUAAAUUAAAAGCCGAUCAAGAAUUUAUAUGGGGAAAAGAGCAACAGUUGGCUCUGGAUGAAAUCAAGAAUUAUUUGACAAAUCCCCCAGUCUUAAUUCCACCUCAGCAAGGAAAGCCCUUCAGAUUAUAUUUGUCUACCGAUGGAGUGGUCAUCGGUUCGGCUUUGAUUCAAGAAUUUGAAGGGAAGGAGCGUGUGAUUUACUAUUUAAGCAGAAGAUUGAUUGAUGCUGAGACCAGGUAUUCGGCCAUUGAAAAAUUAUGUUUAUGCCUAUAUUUCUCAUGCAUCAUGUUGAGGCACUAUUUGUUAUCGGCUGAAUGCACUGUUAUAUGCAAAGAUGACGUGGUCCGAUAUAUGCUAUCUAUGCCGAUUAUGAGUGGCAGAAUCGGUAAGUGGAUUUUGGCACUGUCGGAAUUCGAUCUGUGGUACGGAUUGGCUAAGGCGGUUAAAGGCCAGAUUAUGGCCGAUUUUGUUACUCAACAUCACGGUGCAGUGGAGACUUUGGGAAUUGUGCCUUGGACGCUCUUCUUUGAUGGAUCCACUUGUGACCGGGGCAGGAAUCGGCAUAGUGUUAAUUUCCCCUCAGGGAAGGAAGUAUGAGUUCUCUUUGCCGAUUGUUGCCACGUCAACAAAUAAUCAAACCGAGUAUCAAGCUUUAAUCAAAGGGAUGGAGUUGUUAAAAGAAGUUCAUGCUGACGCUAUUAAAAUCUUCGGGGAUUCUAUGCUGGUUAUAAAUCAAUUAGCUGGAAGUUAUGAAUGUCGAAGUGAAGUUCUGAUAACUUAUUACGAAAAGAGUAUGCAACUGUUGAGGGAAUUCAAAGAUUUCCGAUUAGAGCAUGUUCCUCGGUUACAUAAUGAAGAGGCUAAUCGGUUGGCCCAGCGUGCCUUGGGAUAUCAACCCAUAUUGAAUACGUUAUCGGCAAUGAGUGCCGAUGAUUGGAGAAAAGAAAUCAUUGAUUAUUUAAAGGAUCCAUCUAAGAAGGUUGAGAGGCGUGUUCGGCUUCAAGCUACCAAGUAUGUGCUCCUCGAGUAUGAAUUAUAUUAUCGAACAAUCUAUUGAGUUCUUCUCAAAUGCUUAAGUACUGAUGAAGCUAAAAGUUUGAUGGGAGAAAUCCAUGAAGGAGUGUGUGGAGCACAUCAGUCGGCCUUUAAGAUGAAGUGGAUGAUUAGGAGGAAUAGGUAUUAUUGGCCAACCAUACUUGAAGAUUGUUUUAAAUAUUUCAAGGGAUGUCAAGGAUGUCAGAAAUUUGGUAAUGUUCAAAGAGCACCCGCAUCGGCCAUGAAUCCCAUUAUUAAACCUUGGUCGUUACGUGGAUGGGCUAUUGAUCUAAUCGGCCAGAUUUACCCACCAUCAAGCAAAGGGCAUAAGUUUAUCUUGGUUGCCACUGAUUAUUUAACCAAGUGGGUUGAGGCUAUUCCUCUAAAAAAGUUACAUCGGCCAAUAUGAUUGAUUUUGUGAAAGAGCAUAUUAUUUUCCGAUUUGGUAUUCCUCAAACAAUUACUACCGACCAGGAUACUAUGUUUACAUCAGGUGAGUUUGAUGAGUUUGCAAUCGGUAUGGGGAUUAAAGUGUUGAAUUCUUCUCCUUAUUAUGCUCAAGCCAAUGGACAGGCCGAGGCAUCUAACAAAGGAAUUAUUAAGCUCAUCAAAUGGAAGAUUGAAGAAAAUCCUAGAAGAUGGCAUACGUUGUUGAAUGAAGCUUUAUGGUCAUAUCGGAUGUCUUGUCAUGGAUCGACCAAAGUUUUGCCUUAUCAGUUGGUGUAUGGACACGAUGUUGUAUUGCCAUGGGAGAUUAAAACCGGAUCUAGGCGACUAUCUUUUCAAGAUCAGCUAACUGCCGAUGAUUAUGCUACUUUGAUGAAAGACGUGUUGGAUGAUUUAGCAGGGCAUCGGCUGAGGGCUUUGGUGAGUAUAGAAGAAAAUAAAAAGAGAGUUGCCAGAUGGUAUGAUAAGAAAGUAAAGGCUAAGGAGUUUGCCGAUGGAGACUUGGUAUGGAAGCUAAUCUUGCCGAUCGGGACUAAAAGUUCAAAAUUUGGGAAGAGGUCUCCCAAUUGGGAGGGUCCCUAUCGGAUAAAUCGAUCUGCUCCUGGCAAUGCCUAUAUUUUAGAAACUCUUGAAGGAGUUGAAUUUCCCAGAGUGUUGAGUGGCAAAUAUCUAAAGAAAUAUUACCCAAGCAUAUGGGUCGAUGCAUAAAAAGUUUAAGUGCCGAUAACACUCCUAUCGGCUGGAUUGAAAUGUACCUGGGACUAAAUACGAUGUUUUAAAAGAUGCCGAUAACAGUCCUAUCGGCUAGACCAACAUAAUCAGGAGUGUUUGAAAGGAAAAGAGCAAAAACACACCACCGAUGAAGAGUUCAUAUGUUUAGCAGAGCCUGGAUCGUCGAUAUGGCGCGCAGACGAAUCUGAUCGACUUCUUCUAUCUCCUUCAUGUCUUCAUCGGUAGAGCCCUCCACUGGCUUCAGUUUCUUCUUCAUCUGCAGUGCCUUGAGAGCUUGGACAUUUUGCUCUUGUUCAAGUGUCUUGAUCGUCUCGGGCAACUGGCUUUCUUCCUGUUGAGCUUGGGACAGAGCUUCUUCUACUUGCUUAAGUUCUGCUAGCAGAGCUUCCCUCUUUGCUGAUAGGCCAGAGAUCUUCCCUUUCAGCGUAUCUCCAGAGGAUUUUAGAAUGCCGAUUCUCUUAUGCUUUUCAUCGGUAAAAUGCUUCACUUUCAUCACCUCCUCUGAGAGCUGGGCGUAAGUGGCUCUAUCGGCAAGGCGCUGAGCGGCCUUUUGGUACUGCAGCUAACGACUCUCUAAGUGUGCAACCUAAAAAAGAAUCUCCUCGGCAUUGGCAGGGAUUUGACCUCUGAGAGCCUUAAACAGAACCUUGACAGAAUCAGAGUCAUCGACCAAUUGCGCUGUAUCUUGAUGAAGAAGGGCCGACAGAUCUUCCAGCUUUGCUCUGAUCUCUACCGAUGAGAUCCCAAUCGCUUGGGAAGAACUUGCUUCUUUGCCUUCGUCAUCAGAAAUUUCAAUAGCGAAAGAGAACAGACUGUCAGGGAAUCUUGUUCCUGAAAGAGGAAAGGAGAUGGGUUAUUUGAUGACAAAAUAUUAGUAGAAUACAGAAUGAUAAUCAAAUAACUUACUUGUUUCAAGGCUAUUUCACGCCUCUGGCUGGUUGAUACCGCUGGUACUACAGGUUGAUCGGCUGGAGUUGCCGACGGAACGAUGUCAGCUGAAAAUUAACAAGGAUAAUUAUUAAAUGGAGAGAUAGGUUCAUCGGCAGUAAUUUCAUAGAAAGUAUGUUACCUUGAGGGGGUGCAGUACUUGUCUGAAUCGAGGAAACCACCGAUGCUAUGAUUAAGCUUGCUGGAUCGGUGGUCUGCUCGUGUACAUCGGCUGAUAUUUCUUCUGGCUGAAGUUCUUCUGGUUGGGGUUCUUCUUGCGGCUCAGGAGGAUGCGGUGCUUGUUGUGUCUGAGCUUCUGGAGAAGAGGGGGAUGAUUCCACCAGAAUCGGUGACCUUGGAGGAGGGGGAGGCGUUGCUAUUCUCUGGCGCUUCGCUUGUGAUCUGGUACUCUUGGAACCUUUUCUCUUUGGUUGGCUGGACUAGGGGGCAUCAGCAGUCAUACUUCUGGUCUUUGCCGAUUUGCCAGUGUGCUGAUACAACAAUGAAAGUUUUAUGAGUACAAGUGUAACAGGGUACUGAUGAGGUUCUGAUUAAAAUAAUAAAAGUUACCGAUGAAGUUCCCAUGCUAGCCGAUGGUCCUGAAAAAUUGUGUGGAUGUAAGAAUGGAAUCGGUAUAAGUUGAGGAAUUCGAGAAAUAUGCAAGAGAAUCGGUCCAAGGUUGUUCGGAUUUGACGAGCGGUUACCACAUUAGGAGAAUUAAUUGCGGAAAGGCAUCAUUACUGCAGAGAAUUUUGGAGCAUUAAUGAUUUUAUACUCCGAAAUUGGGGGGCAUGUGUUGACACCAUUUUUGGACACGUAUCUUUUAUAGAUCGGUAGAUGAAGCAACGGUAACUAGUCUGCAGGAAAGUUGCCGAUGAAGGUGGUUGCCGAUGAGGAGACAAUUGAAUGUGACUAAGUCCAGAGGUGGUGAUGUGUUCGUGCCGAUGAUCAGUAUUAGUGUUUACCGAUGGCCAAAACAGGAGGUCUGCCAAUGACUCUGAAGGAGAGCGUGGAGAUUGUCGAUUGAUCUGUGGCGGUGCCCCUGUCGGUUACAAGGGGGUAGUUUUAUGUUUUCCUUAGUUAUUAGAAUUCGUUUUGCGUAUGGGUUCCGUUAAGUUUGGAAUUCGAGUCCUAGUCGUGUCUGGUUAUAGCUCUUCAGACAGGGUAUAAAUAUAGACCCUAGGGCAAUGUAAUGAGACAAUCUAUCAAUCAAUCAAACACAAGUUUUUACUCAUAUUCCAGCAUCUACUUUUUCGAUGACUUCAUCAUAUUUUCUUUUGAUUACGAGUUCUUAGGAAUUCGUCGACUUAAGCUCGGCGUGUUCUCAAGUUCCGCAUGAUCACCUCUUGGCCGUGACAUCUAGGCGCAUCGCUAUUGUCGGGACCAAAGUGGUCGAGUUACCACCUUUGUCGAUUGUAAGGUCAAAUCAGCUGGCACGCCUUAACGUUUAAAUUAGGUAUUAGCCCUUUGUGUUUGCAGAUCAGUUUUGCAUCAACACUUGGUUAUGCUUUUGUGCAAAUGCUUGGCUCAUGAAUGAAUGCGAUGAUCCAGAAUCAAACAAAACAACUGCAAGAUGUUGGUUGACAGGGAACAUACCAGCUGUUACCGGUUCUCCUUCCAGGAUCUCCUCUAUCGAGGUAUCGUGCACUCGAGCUAGGUAGGUUGUCUGCUGCCUCUUGGGGUAGGGACAUUCCUUGGCAAAGUGCCCCAUCUUGUGGCAAUUAUAGCACGGUCCCUUGGUCAUGUUGCUGGCGGUAGGUGCUGCAGCUUGAGUUGCCUUUGGCUUGGCAGGAGCUAUCGCUACCUUGUACGGCUUCUGCUGCGUUGGAUGCCCAGUGUUCCUUCUCUGUGGCGGUCGGAACCUAGCACCUAGGGCAGGGGGACGAUACUGCUGUUGCCCUGCCACCGGUGCCCUAGACUGAGAUGACCCGGCUUCAAAAGCCCUCUUACGAGACUUGGACGCACUAUAGUUGUUGUUAUUGUUCUCCUGGGUUAGACAGUCACUGAUGUAGGCAUUGAAGUUAGUCCGGGCUCCUGUACCCAUGGUCUUUAGCAUCUUUGGGCUCAGGCCUCUCUGGAAACUAGUGAUCUUCUUGGCUUCCGUGUUCACAUACUCGGGGGCGUAACGAGCAAGAUUGUUAAAAGCGUGUAGAUACUCCUUCACAGAUAUUGUUCCCCAGGACAGCCUCAUGAACUCCCCAACCUUCAUUUCCACCACACCCAGAGGAAUGUAAUUUCCCCAGAAGGUGGUGGUGAAGCGGUUCCAGGUGAUAGGGGUUCCCUCUGGGUAGGUGGUACGGUGAUGGAACCACCAAAUCCCAGCAGGUCCCUGCAACUGAUGCGCCGCAUACUCGGCCUUGAGUUCUUCCGUCAUCCGAAGAAGACGGAACUUUUGCUCCAUAGUGUUGAUCCACUCAUCUGCCUCAAGUGGUUCUAAGGCCUCCUUGAAGACUGGUGGUUUGGUAUCCAUGAAGUCCUUGAAAGAGCUGUACUGAUUGGCUUCACGGCCGCCCUGGUUAUCCCCACGGUGGGUAUUGUCAGCGAUAUUGCAUAGGGCUUCUUCCAUGUUGCGCUGCAUCUGCUCCAUGUUGCGUUGGCUCCCCAGAAACUGUGCGAAAAACACGUCCGCAGUGUACGGAGGAGGUGGUGGUGGUGGCGGCGAUGGUGCUUUUUCCUCAUUCCGUUGAGCCCCACCUCCGGAAGCACCUGCUCCAAGUCCGGGGUUGCUGUUACCCCCGCCACGUGUUUGCACCAUCUGCAUGCGUCAAUGAUAAGCAGUCGUUAAGAGUUGCCAUCAACGGUAGACAUAUGUAGAAUUAUGCGGUACUGAAUUUACUGAGGAAAAUAAAUUCGCACAAUAAAUAGAGGCACAACAAUUCAUCAUCCACACACAACAUCACUAACGAAUUACUUAACAUUCGAGCAACAAGGUUCGCAUACAUCCAAAAUUGCCAGCAUACAUACACUGGACUUUCAACGUCAUCACAUAAAGUUUUACACAGCCCUGAUCCACAGAUUACAAGACAUGCCAUGCAAAAACAACAACAAAAGGAGAAGGACUAGCUCUAUAACCCUAGCAUCUACUCGCUAUGGUCACUGUCCAUGCCGGAGCCCUCCUCGUCCUCAUCUCCACUAGCAGCUGCCUCCAACUCUGGAUCCUCAUCCAUCUCGUCCUCAGAGUCUAACUCAGCUGCUCCAGGCUGGUGGUGAGGGUGGAGCUGGUUAUGCAGCUGGUGGAUCUCCUCAUGCAGGUUGUCAUUGUACUCCUCAGCAUUAGCUAGCUACUGCUCAAGCUCUAGCUAUCGGGCCCUCAGGGUGUCCUCCUCGUGCCAGGCUUCAUUCCUCUGACCAAGCACAUGAACUAGCAUGCACUCGCUGUUCCUGUGAGCAGUAGUCACCCUGUCCCUCUGCUCUCGCACUGCUAGCAGGUCCUGACUCAGCUCACUGUUCUUCUGGACCGCCUGAUCCCUCUCUCGGGUCAUGCGGGCCAACUCUGCCUGCAACCUCUCAACCUCAGUGUCAAACUCACGCUGCAGCUGGCGUCUCAUCCUGAACUGUGAGAAGGGAUCCAGACAAGCGUCCCAAACAAUGCUCCAGACCCCCAUAGGUCUUCAUCAAGGCGAACAUAGCACUCAUAGCUACACUGUCACGGUGCUGGUCCUCGUCCACACUCCUCUCUAGAGCAUUCACCUCGGACUGAUCCCACACCGAAGUGUAGGGGUCACCCUGGGAAACACCCCAGCGAAGGCGUGGGCCAGCUCCUGUGGAAACCUCUCCAUAAUAUCUCUCAGAACUGCAAAGGCUGCUCUGCGGACACCGUGGAAAGGCGUGGUACCUCGGGACUCAUACACCCAGCCGCCCCAGGUCGGGUCACCUCCACUGGUAGGGACCACUGCCUCGAUCCGCAUCAGGGUCGCGUCACUAAACUGCUCCCUGUUCUAAUAGUAGCGAGGUUCCCUUCCUUCGGGAUACCCCAUCGAGCUAAGCACCCUCCAAAGCAAGGUGGGCAUCCCAAACUCCUCCAGGAACUUGCUCUUAUGACGUGAGCUCCUAGCUGCCAACUGAUGGCGAGGGGCCCGCCCACCAGUGGACUUGCGAGCGGUGAGCCUAGUGCGUGCCAUCUGCUGCAAAGAGAAUACCUUGGGUAAGAUUGAGGAUUAUCUUUUAUUAUCUUAAUUGGAAUUGGGACAGAUUUAAUUAAGGGGAGGAAGUAAGCAAUGAUAUGAAAUGAACAUGAUGCAUGCACGAACUUACGAUCUCACAAACGUAGAAACAAAAGUUAACACUAAUCGGUAUAUGCGAUGGCACACAACGUUCUCUCAUAACGUAACUAGCGUUCUAGGUGGGAACGUGGUUAGUGUACCUGCAGAAAACUCAUUUCAGCCCAACCACAGGAUGAACAUGCAGAACAAGAAUUUAAAUCUACACACCCCAUAUGCAUAGACACCACUUCCAUGCAUAUGGUGUGUUACUACCCACAUCAUCGCCCUAGUGACGGCAUCGCCUCUCAGCACGGAAUCUCCCAACAUGCGGUACUGUUCCCAGGCGUACCAAACAUGUGUGCAUGACACAGCACCUAACAACACUUCCCUAGACCGGCAGUGUAUCCGAUCAUGCUCUCACAGCUCCCACUUACCGCGGCGUAGAGGAAGAAUUGAUCCAUACAUUACCACUCAAAUGAAUGAUACUCAUACUAUUGCACGUCGUAUGAGCGACGAAAUAGAAAUAUGAUGCAUUAACCCCCAAGUCAGUACUUAACUAGCCACCUUAGAGUCCUUAACUGGGCAUAAAGGAUAUGACCAUGGCACACUAGAUAGUUUUCCAAAAACUUAGUUAACACCUCGAUUAUCAUUAAUUAACAAUAAUCUUUUAUUAAACCGGUUUAAGGUUAGUUAGAACGUACUUAUGAACAGUAACUCGCUAAACCUUGCUCCGAUGCCAGCUGUAAGAGAACCGCCCAAAUUAUAAGAGAUUAAGCCUGAUAGUGACCAUUUGCACAGUCAAACUACCGAGCUUAAGCCCAUAUAAUCCCGGUAGUCUGUGAAAUCUCGAAGGAUUUCAAACCACAACUCGUACGUACAGCCAAGAUCGUAACAAGUUCAGCGGUCACCAUUCACACUUACAUCCAGUUCGCAACAUUCAACAAAUACAUCGGAGUACAUAAAAUUAUUACAAACCAAGUUCUCAAGUAGCAGAAGCUUCAUAGUUUGAGAGUAACACACACACAUUUAGUUUGAUACAGUGCCAUAGUUCGGUCAUUCCCACAAAAGCAAAAGAGAAGGUAGAGUGACCAUCGCCCUUGGUCUAGUCAUCGCCCAUUGCUGGGUACAAGUAGAGGAUGCAAUAACCAUAGUACAUUUGACCAUCUGCAAAACAACAUGGGAAUAGAACCCUAAGUACGGGAAUGUACUCAGCUAGACUUACCCGUCAUAAACCAAAAAUAAAGACUCUUCAAGGAUCAUGAAGGCUGUAUGGUGGGGUAGCUGAGACUUUUUGCAUAAAAGCAUUAUUCCACUAAAACAUAGCCUAGAGACCUUUCUUCUUUUAAUUAGCUCAAGUUUGAUAAUAUCAUUACCUAUUAUCUAGGUUUGCACCUGUACUAUUGCAAACAAGUAUAGAAAUAUGAUGGUACCUCAUCAUAGCAUUCAUAAACCAUUUAUCAUCAUAACCCAAGUGUUCCUUAGUCCUUACUACGAGGACGAAGCUCAUGUCAAGUGCUCACUAUCUAGGAGCGAUGGCGAUUCGAAUCGAUUUCUGACCAGCUAGCGAGUUAUUCCCCACACAAACCACACUCACUGAUCAAGUGAGCUACAGAUCACCGUGUUACACUAUCUAGGACCAAAUCGCGGGUUUGGCAGGCACCGCCAGUACGCGAGGACCGUUCCGGCGACCGAGGUAUCCAAGGUAUACCAAGGUUGCGCACCGCGCCCUCGUCGUUCUCCUCAACCAUCACCAAUACAGCGCAUGGCGGCUCGACUCCCGGCCUGGAUAGUGUUCAGGCUUCGUGGUCGGAACGACUUAUCCUUCCAGCUAAGUGUGGGACAUGCGUUCAACAUGACAAGAGGGCUGUCAACGAUUGUGGGGGUAUAAACCCCUAUACCCUUACAGCCAGACUUGGGCUAGGAGGCUUGGCCCAUUACGAGACAUGUUCGAGGCUUGAUCCGACAGCUCGGAGUUUCACGCAAGGGAACGAGACGUGGAGAUCAAGCAAGAUUCUAGUCGGUUAGAAUAGGAAUUGAUACCGAACUAUCUAUGGCAAUUGUAACCGACUAGGAUUAGCUGUCAGAUCUGUAACCCUGCCCUCUGGACUAUAUAAGGAGAGGCAAGGGACCCCCCUAGGACAUGAUUAUUCUCUCAACACAAAUCAAUACAACCAGACGCAGGACGUAGGUAUUACGCCAACUCGGCAGCCGAACCUUGAUAAAAAGCUUGUCCGUGUCUUGCGUCACCAUCGAGUUCAUAGUUUGCGCACCGUCUACCGAUAAACUACUACCGUGGGUAUACCCCAAGGUAAACUGCCGACCAGCUUUCGUCGGCAGUGGCGCGCCAGGUAGGGGGUGUGCGUGCAACUUCCCCGGCGAACGAGAUGGUCACAAUUCCAGCUUCCGCGGCCGUGCCUGAAGGCCUCACGUUCACCGUCGGCCAGAUCACGUGGACAACGCGCGGCGGUGGUCUCACGACCACGGUUUUGGAAGGAACCCAGAUCCAAUCUGGGAUCACGUCGGCCCCGACCACUCGGGUGAUGGUACCGAGCGCCCGACCACCGCUCCCGCUCUACAAGGGAAAGAAGAUCGACUGCUCGGACCUUCUCCAAGCACUUGAUCGUGCCGAUUCCAAGUUACUUGAAGCUUCCCAACUAGUAGAUGGAAUCUUGAGCCAGCCUGAUCAAGCCGCCCCAACGGAUUUUUUCAAAUCCCGCCGGCCAACUCGUGUCGUUACACACGAACGACCGAGAACGUCUCUGACAAUAACCUCAACUCCCUCAGGACGAUUCGUCACGCUCAAGGCUAACCCGGAGGAAGAUUAUCCUUGCGGUCUGAACAACUCGGCCUCUCUCUACUCACGGCACAUCCAAUCCCUUUUCAACAAGGCGGGUUGGCUGCCAAAGUGGAGCGGUUGACCUGCUCGUCACUACGUCAACAUGGUGACGAUCCGAGAACUACGGGAUGCCCAGGCUUCCAGCACGAAUUCGAGCACUGGUUCCGUCCCAACCGAAGUUAUAAACUCCGAAGACGAGGACUACGACCUGGAUCUGCCUUCACAUCCCCCGGGCUUCUCUCGUUUCCUAGUCUUCCCACCCCGGCGAGGAGACAUUGUUUUCAAUGUCAGCGCUGACGAGCCGGUCGUUGAUGGGGAAACUGACGAGCAGAGGCAGCUCCGCGAGCAGCGUAACGCCGAUCGUGCCCGACGACGCGCGGACGAGGAACGCCAAAUCCCGCCGCAUAAUCUCAGCGACGCUUUCGACAUGGUCGGGGAUCAACCAGUUUAUAAAAUGCCAAGCGCCAACGUGGCUGUCGCCAUGGCUAAUUUAGAUCGACUCCCUGAUACUCCCGAAUGCUAGGGGGUCCGAACCAAUGUCCGAGCACACCUGAUCGCCGCAAUGGGACAGACGGCCACUCUGCUCAAAAGAGUCCAGGCCGUCUCCUAUACAGAAGCCACCUCCGACCAGACUCAUCGUAGCCGGACCUCACCGCAGCCUAGCAGGCACCACCGCAGACGUUCCCCCGACAACCACCGAAAAGACUCACGGCGUGACGACGGCAGUCGGGAUGCUGGCAGUCAUCGCGAGCAGAAUCACAGGCGUGGUCAAGAAGUAAACCAAUAUAGGGAUCUUCGGUAUAACAUCCCUCCCAAAGAUGCCCGGGACCGUAUCAACAGGCGCGCCACGGAGAGAGCAGUCCACGAAAACCUGCGCCGUAUCGAGUAUGAUGUGACGCACGGCCCCCCGGGCCUGAGGCAGUUCUCAUCACACCUCCACUAGGUCGUGUGGCCCCGCAAUUUCAAGCUCGAGAAACUCAAAAAAUAUGACGGCAAGGAAAAUCCAGAAAACUGGAUCACUCUCUACGAAAUUGUCGUCCGAUCAGCAGCAGGGGACGAGCACGUCAUGGCCAACUACUUCCCAGUAGUCCUCGACCAGGCUGGUCAUCAGUGGCUCCUUGGCCUGCCCAAGGACUCCUUCGACUCUUGGGAAGAGCUACGCCAGGCUUUCAUCGACAACUUUAUUGCCACAUGCGAGCAGCCUGGAAACAAGUAUGACCUCGAAAUGAUAUGGGACAGGAAAAAUGAACCUCUGCGCGAUUACAUCCGACGAUUCUCGGAUAUGCGCCUUAAGAUCCCGAAGAUUUCCCACGAUGAGGCCAUCUCUGCUUUCAUCAAAGGCCUGCGCUUCCAUGAAGCACUAAGGAACAAGCUGCUGCGCAAAAGGCCAACAACGAUGGUCGAGCUCCUCGCCACGGCUAAAAAUUACGCCGAUGCCGAUGACGCAGAAAAACUAAUCCGGGACGAUGCGAGAGGGCCCGACCAGCCUCCUCGGCGAGAUGAUAAUCGCAGUCCUUUCGACAACAGGAACCACCGCCGCCCCGACAACCGCGAUCACAGAGAAGGUUGGGAUAGGUGGCGCGACAAUCGCGACGAUUUCAGAGGAAAGCGUCCCCGCGACCAAGACCACGAAGUGAAUACAGUCAAGCGUCCCAACGGGCGACGGGACUACCAAGAAGACUACAACAAAAUGUUGAAGGGACCGUGCCAAUUGCAUCCAAAAUCCAAUCAUACCAUGGAAGAGUGCCGCGUCCUCAAAAACAUCUAUACGCGGCGGGCCGCCCAAGACGACUCCGCCAAGAAAAACGGAAAAAGAGACGGACACGACCACGAAGAUGAGGACGAGGACCAAGAUAGGGACCCAUGACACCAAUAUGUCAGUCCCACUGAUGUAGUCCACUCCAUCUUCAGGGGCAAGGUCUCCAUCGAAUCUAAGUGAGAAAGAAAGCUAUUAAAGAGAGCCUGCCUCAACAUAGACAGCACGGACGGGAUGAUCGCAGACCCGAAAUUUCCCCCGUGGUCGCACAGGGAGAUCUCCUUCAGCAGAAAGGAUCAGUGGGCUGCUAUCCCAGAGCCAAGUCGCUUCCCUCUAAUCCUAGACCCUUGCAUCAACAGCAUCAGAUUCGAGCGCGUGCUCGUGGAUGGAGGAAGCUCCAUUGACAUCCUCUUCCGCAACAGUCUGCCCGCUCUCAAGAUAUCUCCGGCACAAUUAAAACCCUAUGAUGCUCAAUUCUGGGGAGUUUUGCCAGGUCAGAGCUCAGUGCCCCUCGGACAGAUAACAUUGCCUGUCCAAUUCGGCACGCCCGACCACUUUCAGACAGAGUUUGUCAACUUUGUGGUCGCCGACUUCGAUGGGACCUACCACGCCAUACUGGGCCGACCAUCGCUGACAAAAUUCAUGGCGGUCCCGCAUUACUCAUACCUGGACCUCAAAAUGCCUACGGAGAAGGGCGUCCUGACCAUCAGAGGCAAUGUUUACACCGCAUAUACCUGCGAGGAAGAGAGCUUCAAGAUCACCGAAGCAAUUGAUCUCUCAAUCCGGAUGGCAGAAACAGCGACCCAAGCCGCACAGCUACCUCCCGACCAGCUCUGACUACCCGAGCAGGAGACCGCCAGGAAGAAUUCAAAAUCCAAGGAGCAUAAAGAAAUAUACCUGGUCGACGGCAGCCCCGAAAAGACGGCCCUCAUCGGGGCCAAUCUGGAUCCCAAAUAGGAAGACGCGCUCGUCAGGUUUCUAAGGGACAACGUGAGCGUUUUCGCAUGGAAACCCGCAGACAUGCUCGGCGUCCCACGAAACCUGAUCGAGCACUCCUUAAAUGUCUCGAAGACCGCAAGACCAAUCAAGCAAAAGCUGCGGCGGUUCGCUCGUGACAAAAAAGGAGGCUAUUAGGAUAGAAAUAACACGGCUUCUAGCAGCCGGAUUCAUAAAAGAAGUGUAUCAUCCCAAUUGGCUUGCCAAUCCGGUUCUUGUACGCAAAAAGAAUAAUGAAUGGAGAAUGUGCGUUGAUUACACUGAUCUCAAUAAACACUGUCCUAAAGAUCCUUUUGGUCUUCCUCGCAUCGACGAGGUGGUCGACUCAACGGCCGAAUGCGAACUCCUCUCUUUUCUAGACUGCUACUCUGGUUAUCACCAGAUCUCGCUAAAGGAAGACGAUCAGAUAAAAACAUCUUUCAUUACUCCUUUUGGCGCAUAUUGCUACAUGACCAUGUCAUUCGGACUCAAAAACGCCGGAGCCACUUAUCAAAGGGCCAUCCAGCAAUGCCUCCACGACGAGAUUCGUGAUGACUGUUGACACUUGCUAACACCACUUGAAUACUAGGUUGUCAUCCCCAGCAUGGCACUAGAGUGUACUAUGGUAUUUAUACACACACAGAUAAUCCGCAAGCGCACGGAUACCGUUGAAGCUUUUACCCGGUUAAAGGUUUUAUCGUAUCCACAGGGAAACGGGAGAACUGAUCUACGCUCUAACUUAACCAAGAAAGAUAGAUAAGUGUAAAUAGGAAAGAUGGUAGAAUUGAAUAAGAACAAUAUUAAAGGUAAGAUAACAGUGAGUGAUAAUAUGGGAAUAGAGAGUAGAGCAAUUCUAGUAUAUGGGCGAUGGUAGCAGAAUAUAGAGGAUAACUAUGGUUUCUCUACUUCAAAGGGGUAUGUCUAUGUCUGGGACGAACCACGUGAUAAGAGUACAAUACAAAGGAUGCUUAUCCUUAGGCCGAUAAACCCUACCCGUCCUGCUAACGAGAGGUGGACUACAGAGGACCAACGUAACUGUCACCUACGCGGCCUACCACACGAUCCAGCUAGACAGGGGAUAUCCACAAGUAAUCUAGAUCUAAGCACCUCGCUUACACCUAUACUACAACUCUCACCUAUAGCGUCCUAUAGAUUAAAGUACUCAAAAGAGUUGUGAACCAGAACAUACAAGAUUAGUAAUUGCAUAAUGAAUUAGAAGUAGAUUACCAGAAUCAUCCCAUGAGCAAGCUUGAUUAGAGCUUGAUCAUGACGAAGUACAACCGGAGGAAGAACCGACAGGCCGGCCUCUCCUCUAAUCCUCCUUCGCUCUCCAUCUUGCUACUAUCUAGAUCUACUCUAGUUUAGAGAAGAGAGGAGAGCUCUCAUCUCUAAACCCUAGCUUUUGCUCUGUCUAUGAAUAAUGAAUAAUGAUCGAGGGGUGCCUCCUCCAGGGGCCAGGGGUUCUGGUUAUAUAGUCUUUUUAGAUAAAUCUGGGCCGUCGGAUCAAACCGACAUUGAUCGUGUGGUUUUCCUUGAAGUAUUAGGUCGGUGGAGCAUGAUCCGUGAAGUUGAAGCUGAUUGGUUACUGUACCUGGGCGGGCACCCAAGGGACUUGGGCGGGCGCCCUGCCCCCGGGCCCGAUCGGCCUCCCGUUCGUUCCCGUGGCUUCUGGAGUCUUCUAGAUGGUAGAAAAUUGUGCGGCACGUUAAUAUCUCUAUGUAAACCCUACGUGUGGGCCUUUCUUUCAUAUUUUCUGAUAACCCCCUACAGCAAUAGAUAAACACCAAAACUCGUGGAAUUCUGUCAGAUAAAACCCUAAGUCUAGAUGUUGAUUUCAUUUGGAUCCUUUUCUUUGUUUAUUUGAUAAUUAAAUUUGAUACUUAAGGACCGUCAACAAACUCCCCCAAGCUUACCUCUUGCUCGUCCCUGAGCAAGGAUAGACUCAGCAAUGGAUCAGAAGUUGUUGCAAUAUCUUAAAAAUUUGACGGUACACAUGCUUUUAAAUAAGAUCUCAUCUCUGAGUUAGAGUAAACUGUCAAGAACUAAAACUUACUUACUUUACCUUUCACCAUGGGACUUGUAACCGUCACUUCUGUCUUGAGUAGUUAAAAGAUAGAACAGUCUAGCCAAGUGCCAUGUCUCUUAUUCUUGAUCAGCUAUAGCUCUAGAGUUUUUGCAGAUUUUCAAAUAAAACUCAGAGAUUCGUUGUAUGACUCUCUCAAUCUCUCUUUUGUGGUAUUUCUGGAUCCUUACCAAGGCAGUGAUGGUAUAUGCCUUCUCUCAAGAUAUGUGGUAUUUGUGGUAUAAGGCAUAGUGACAUUGCCUUCUCUCUCACCCUACUCUAAUAAGGCUUUAAUAUCUGGAGCUCAUAGGUGGGAGAUAAAGUAUACAUACUUACAAGACAUUUAUUGUAUAGUCAAACCAUGGAUCCAGAGAAACAAGUCAAUAACUCAAAUCAAGAUGUGCAUGUGUGGCGAAUGAAUGGUGUAUGGUGAUGAUGGUGAUAACAAUGGUGGAAGUCUAAUUCUACUUUUCCUCUUUUGAGGGGAUACAUACCUUCCUUGCUUUUUGAAACUUUAUGAGGAGAACGAGAUGCUCUUCUUCUUCUUUCCUCUCAGGUGGGUAUCUUGUACCCCUAAUUCUACUGUCAGACACUUGUCCAUUUUUACCUCUCGUCUCACUUUUUCUUUCUUUCGAGGUUCCGGGCACUUGCCCCUUUUUAUUUCCUCGUUUAUUUUUUAUUUUUUCUUUUCUUCUCUUUUCUCUCUUUUUUCAGAGCACUCAUCUCUUGAGAUAAUAUAGCAAGUGGUAGUAGCAAGAUAACUUGAGCAUUUAUUUCACAAGGGAAAACAGAAAUAUUUUUGGCUAUUCUCUCCCGGAUUAGGAGUAGAAUAUUUUUGGGUGGUUCUGGAGAUGGAUAUGGAUGGAUAUAUGUGGAUGGUACUUCCGGAGUAGAAGUAGCAUAUAUGAGUGAACAUGCAAGUGAAUCUUGAUUUUAACCGCAUGACAAGCUCCUAAGGGUCUACACAGCUUGACCACACUCAAUGCUCAUAAGCAGUAAAAAGUAAAUGUAUGGUUCAUAGUCUAAUAAGCAUGUAUAUAUGGCUGUGGUAGGAAUUUAAACUCUCAUCAUACAAGAACUCAUCAUGCAAUAUUUUAAAGAUUUUUCAAAGAUAAAAUUCUCCAGAAUUCUAGCAUCUCUAAGAACAGAUAAACAGCAGCUCAACCUUCCCAUAUCAUAUCCGUUAACAACUUAGAUUUCAGAUCAAGUUUUCAUCUCAUAAGUUUAGAUCUAGAGCAAGCUUUAAAUUAUAACAGUUAUGUCUAAACUUGAGAGAGAACUUCAAAUUUGCAAAUUAGGCAGAGCAACUAUUCAUCAUAUCCAUGCUAGAGUUUUAUUAUUAAGAUUCAGAUUAGCAUAGCCACUUUAUUUAUUUAUUAAACACACUAAGCAAAAGAUAUAUAUAUAUAUAUAAGCACGAAAUAUUUAUUUGGUUUUUCAUAGUUUAUGUAAUUUAAUAUUCUAAUAUAAUAUAAGUAUAAAGAUAGGUAGAAAUACUUAGCGAGAUAAAUAGGGGUGCUCUCCCCCAAGCUGAAUUUUGACGUAAUUUCUCUUGAUGUAGCUAGCAGGUGGCAGAGGUGUAUUUGAAAGUCAGCAGCAUUCUGACAGCGAUUAGAAUGUCCUCCGUCUGCUAGUCUUCUUGAUUCUUAAAUUCUAUGGAGCUCAAAUAGAAAACAAAGCUUGUGGAACUAAUUAAGUGUUAGCAUAAAUAUCUAGCCUUCAUCACGUUGAGCUUCCUCAACAAAUAUUACUCCCUGUUUUUAUAUUUUUUUAUUUUAUAAAGCAGAAAAGAAAUAUUUAUUUUAUUUUUAUGCCACCACAGUGAAGGUACUUAUGGGUUUUAUGCCACUUGUAUACUCACAUGGGGCUUAGUAUUUUUUAACAUUUUUAUUUUCUUUUUAAGAUAGCAUGAUUAACUAAUAAUCUAUUUAAGGAAAGUAAAUAAUUAAAGGGAAAAGGGAAUGCAGAAAGGAUAAAUAUAGAUAACUACCGAUCUUACCUUUCGGCGAUGGUUCAAUGUUUUUAAGUCUUCUUAACAAGACUUCUCACCGUGUUCAUUCUUUAGGUGCGUCAUUUGAUUCAGUUGCGGACCUUGACGUCUACACCUCUUCGUUUGCCCAGCAGUUCGAAGCGCAGCGUUGGCAGUAUUCUACUUAGUGUGUUUGUGCUCGUAGAUCGAGGUCCUUCACUUGGUAGAGUCUGAGAGUUAUAAAACUCCUCCAUGUUUUGCUCAAAGUGUACCUGCUCAUAGAGACAAAGCAGAGAUCAAGUGCAUGGGUCCUGUUGGUGGAAAACACCAACAGAACCAAAAGUGUAUUUGUUCUUCUCUAACCCUAAGCAUAGUGAGCAAGACAAAGUUGAUGGAUGAAAAGUUCAUGAGUGUAGCACUUAUAACAUUUGUCAGAUCAGAUCGCUCAACCUUAUGGAAAGAUAAUCUAUCUAUGUAUAUGUCUUUUUCUUUAUAUCUCUCAAUGAUUGAAUGUGUAACUUUUUAGCUCAUAUGAUUAGGAGUGUGGGAUCAUGGAGGUAGUACCAAGAACAAGGAUUAAAGGACUAAACAUGUUGAAUCAGUUGGGUUGGUUAAUCUAGAGUUGUAAAUCAUACAUGUUCGUCUCUUUUAUUUAUAUGAAUGCCAGAACCAAGGAGAUGCUUAUAAAAGUGAUAGUCAAGUACCUUAAGAUGUUACCUUGCUUGAAGAGUGAUGGUACAGUAUCACCUUGUAGAAGCUUUCCUUUCUUAGCGGUUGUGCAUCGUGUUUGUGGCACCCUCCAUGGAUCAUCUCUCUAUGAUGAAUGAGCUAUGUCCUUCUUGUGCAAAUUGUUAAACUUCAUGUGUCACUCUCUUCGUCUCUGAUGUGAGUUUAUCUCAGGACUUCCCAAAUCAAUAUUGAAAGUUUUCCUGCAGGGGUUAGUCCGACAAAAUAUACCAAUAUCUACUCAAGCAGUUUUUAGUUCAAUAACCAAACUAGACUUCAUGUCUAAUCAAAUUAAGGAAGGCUAUUUAACCUAAGCACGAUGCUUAAUUUAAAUGCCAAUGGAAGUAUGGCGAGUACUUCCAAACCAACACAUGCUAGUAAAUAGACAAAGGUAGCAUGACAGCAUUUAUAGAGAUCUACUCAAGUGGAGAUGAAGUAGUGUGAUUACUAUUUAACAAAUUGAGCAUGUCUCAAAGGU
rnacentral:lncRNA from 1 species